UACCCAACCAAUUGGGGUGGGCAGAUCCGAUUUGAAUCGGUAUCCAACGUAUCCAAAUUACAACAAAAAAGAGGAUAUCCAAUAUACAACCAAACUACAUAACCGAUUGAUAUUACAGUCUAGUGUUUAGUGUAGUUACUUUUCACUCAAGUAAUAAUUUUGGGAGCGAAUCAACAAUUUAUCAUUUUGUUAGUAAAAUGAUAGCGUUAGUGGAUUAAAAAUUUAUACUCGUUGGAGAAAAAAUAAAAAGAUAAGUUUGAAUAUGCGAGGGCAUAUUAGGAAAUUUGAUUCUGUUACAUGGUUUAGGGUUUCAGUAUAAAAGGGGUGGAGGAGGAAGGCAGAAGAGAAAAUGGUGCCCGAGGCCGGGCGCUUCCCUCUUAAGGAAGAGGCGGCGUGGUAUUCCACGGGAGAGGUUUAUUCGUGGCGCACGUUAGUGCGUUGGGCGCACAUUAACGACCCAACCUCUUUCUUAACGGGGAGGUUGCGGUUGGGGGUUCCAUGGCCGCUCUGCUGCUCCAGUUUUUGCAGCAUGCGCUGUCUGUUUGCCCUACAUCUCAAAUCUCUUUCCUUUUUUUUUUCUUCUCUAAAACCCCAAUUUUCUUGCUUCUAAAACCUUGAAAAUCAAUUCUUUUUUCUCUGGAACCCAAUUUCUUGCUUUUAAAAACCAUUUAUUUCUUUCGAUUUGAGGGAUUUUUGGGUGAUCUAAUCGCAGUUCAUUUUGUUCAUGGUCUCUGAUUUGAGGGUUUAAUUUUAGGAAAAAUAAAGAAGUUUGAAAAUUAUGAGUUUUAACAAUAAAAAAAAAUAAAUGUUAAAGUGAAUAGUAAAUGUGAUUUUUUUGUUAUAGUGAACAGAGUCGUGAGUUUUUUUGUUAAAACUCUCUUUAAUUUUUCAUGUAUUUUAGGAGAGAUUAUAUUACACAUCUCAAAUUAUUUUUUUCACAUCUUUGUAAUUUUUUAAUAUUUUCUACACAUCACUAAUAUUUGAUAGAAAAAUAUUAAAAAAUAUUAAAAAUAUUAAAAAAUUAAAUGGAUGUAAGAGAAUAAUUUGGAAUGUAUAAAUAUAAUCUUCCGUAUUUUAGUAUCCCACAAGGAAAUUACAAAUUUGUCAAAAGGUAAUCAAGCUUUUAUUCUGACAACCAACAAUUCAAUUAGACAAAUAAGCCGGGAGUUAAGUCAAUUGGUUAUAAUAUUAUAACUACAUCUCUUUGCACUCGAGUUACGUUAGUUGGUUAGAGUAUUGUGGAACUCAGUUUUAAUCUCCAGCGCAUUAGUUAGGUUAAUUGAUGAUGAUACUAUGACUUUUUCUUACACUCAAGUUAAAUUAGUUGGUUAAGAUAUUGUGGAACCCGAGUUUUAAUCUCCACGGCGUGAGUUAAGAGUAAUUUAGAGAUAUCAUUCUCAAACAAACAAACAUUACAGAGGUUGUCUUUAGACUUUAAUCAUAAUAUAUAUUUGCUUUUAAAUAAAUAAAAUUUUCAAGAUGCCCAUCAAAUAAUUCAAGAAAAAGAGGCUUUGUGAAAAAUUGAUUGGGUUGACAAGAUGUUCACUAAAAUGCCUAUGGUGUUGUUGUACAUUUGUGAUUUAAUUUUUUUUCUUUGGUUCAUGAUUCAGAGAGCGUAUUUGACUCAUGAAAUUAUGCGGCAAGAGAAAAAUGUCUUCUGAGCUCCAAUACUUGAGGACUUUGAUUGCUUGAUUCAACAAGCACUGCCUGCUAUUGCACCAUUUCUCUUGAAGAAAUUAAGUUCAAUCGUGACACGUAAAUCACCGUCGCCUUUGUCGUGUAUAAUACAACUAUUUGUAUUAUGUAUGCGAAUCAUUAUCUCAUAAGGCAACUUGUAAAGACUCGGGUUCUACUUCUGUAACAUAAACGAUGAGUGAUGUGGUUUAGUAAUAUAAUACAUGUAUAAUAACAUUGUGAUUUAUGCUCUUCUGGGAUUAAGAUUCGCGUGUGUACCUUUUUCAAACCUUGAUCGUCGAGCUACAUGGCGUAUAUGGCUUUCGUUCCUUCGCAAGUGUUCAUCGAUUCUACACGGUUGGGAUAGUAGGGGUCCGGAAAACUCAAUGUCACGCUUCUCUUCCGCAAUGUAAUCCUAUUACGUUGUUGAAGGAUAAGUCAUGGUAAUUAAGCGUAAAGCAUUUGGAUCAACUGUAUCAAAGAUGAUGGUUUUGUUCUAUAUUCUUACCGUGUUGUUUCCGGUAUCAUCUGGCUCUUCUGUACUAGUAAGUUCAGACGCGUCGAAAGUUCUAAGCUUUCGUAUAGCCAUCCUGCCAGUUCUAUGUCCUUGUUUUAGGUCAUAUGUACUCCGUGCGAAAUUUGCAUCAAGUGCACUGAACUGACUUUUCGAGCCGUCUGAAACUGCGGAUUGAGUACCAUCCUCAGUUCCCCUUUUAGCCCAUGCAAAACCGCUUGCUGCUGAGGUUUGUACGGAAGACAAUGUACUAUCUCCCAGUGAUGCAUUCAACUCGCAAUUCUCCGAAACUGUAUCAAAUUGCGGUUUUAGAUUAGAUUCGCGGCGCAGAAGCCCUCCUUUCGCCCUCAGGAUAAGUGGGUUACCACCAUUCAUUCUACGAGCAGAUUGAGUAUGAUCGUCUUGCCCAUCCUGCACACCCAAAGGAUUAAUCAUUCAGUUAGAACUAGCUUGCUUCAUGCUUCAUGCUUCCAUAACAAAAAAACACACACUGCCACACGCGCAGGCGAGCAUGAAUAGAAAUAGAGAAAGACCUCUUUUGGUGCCAAUUUAGCGGAACUAUUUGACUCGAGCAAGGCCUUACGGACUCUCCUUGGUUUCCUUGUCUCUCGUGCUCGAAUACCAGGUUUUUUUCUGAAUAAUGUAACAAAUACAGCCGUCUAAGUAAACAAUUGAAAUCACUUCUAAGUAAACAUCGCAAUUAGAAAUGAAAACACCCGCAGAGUCCUACUGACAUCUGAAUUACAACCUUAGUUUAAACGAAAAAUUUUACCUUUGUGAUUCCUCCCGAAUUUUAGCAUCCAUUUCUUUGGUAGGAGGAUACUUUGGCAAAUGUGACGGAUCGCAUGCAUAAGGCUUUGUUUUGAAGUACUGCAAUAAGAGAUGCCAAGACAAAGAAGUAAACCAGUAAGGGCAGAAUUUUUUAUGCUCUUAAGAACGUCUCUUCAAACAACGUUGAAAGUAAUUUGCCGUCAUAAAGUUUUGAGAGUAUAUUUUUGAAGAAAUGUACCUCGGACAUUAGGGCAGAGGAGACAGUCCCGCGUUUGUAAGGUUCUACCGAAAGAAGAUUCUCUAACAUGUCUACUGCAGUAGUUGGAAAUUCUUUACACCUCUCCCUAAGAGAACUUUCGUAAGUGUGCUGCGGUUUAAACAUAGUUGCGUGAGGAAGCUUUGACGUUUUCCAGUAUUCUUCAGGAGGCGAACCACAAAGCUUGAAAAUUUUGUGCAGUUGUUCGACCUAUAAAACGAGAGGGGAGCUAUUAACUUCAUCUCGAAUUCUAAAUCCCAUAUUGCUAAGGAGGACUCUAUUUAAAAUCCCUAAUUAGAGAAACUUUUAGCGUUGGACGUUAACGUUGUAAGUAAUCACCUCGGUUCUUCCUUUAAGGAUAGGCUUUCCUAGAAACAGUUCUGCAAAUACACAGCCCACGCUCCAGAGAUCCACCGAAACUCCAUACUCAGUUGCCCCCAUCAAAAGUUCAGGAGGACGGUACCACAAGGUCACCACACGACUUGUCAGUGGUUGCUUGCUCUUUGAGUUAACGACAUUAGCCAAUCCAAAAUCUCCCAACUUUAGAAUCCCAUCGUCGUUUACCAAAAUAUUCGAGGCCUUGAUAUCUCGAUGCAUAAUACCUCUUAAGUGACAGUGCUCGACUGCGGAUAAUAGCUGCCUCAAAUAACAUUUAAUCUACACAGAAGAAAGACCAACCAAACUUAUUGACUUGUCUGGCAACGUUCAAACGGUUCAACAAAACUUGUUAGGCAAGAAACUAACCUGCAUGUCGCUGAAUUUGAUCUCGGGACUAGCUACAAGUCCUGCAAGAUCGUGCUCCAUGUACUCGAAUACGAGAUAUAUGCUAUUUGAUGAUCGAGAUGUUAUUAUGCCCUCCAAUUUCAUGAUGUUCGGAUGAUCAAGCCUGCGAAGAAUCAUAAUCUCUCGAGCCAUAAACCUAAUACUCUCUGGUUGAAAAUUGUCAAAUCGCACUUUCUUGAGUGCAACAAUCCUCCCAGUUUCGACUUCCUUAGCUCGGAACACACUGCUGUAUGUACCUUGUCCAAUCUGCACGCAUCGAAAUGAACUGAUGUAAAAAAAUCAAUAAACUGUAAGCAAAUUCCAAAAUUUUAAAACUGUAGGGCAAAGCAUUAGAAACUACCAUUGAAUUACAUCAAGAACAAAAUCCCCUUACAAGUUUUUGAAGGCUUGCACAUUUAAACAAACUAAAGAUGUGCACUUGCAAUUAGAUUUAUUAGUGAUUAAUUAAUAAUGUCAUUAAAACUAAUGGAAAAUGGGAAGAUGAUCCAUGAAAAUGUACCUUUUCCAACUUCUCGUAAGCAUCAGCUUUGAGGGGGAUCCACCCAUAAAUGACCUCGCCGGCGGCGGCGCUGAGCCAAGAGGGCCAGCCGGCGGAGACUUGCUCUGCCUCCAAAGAAGAACGACUGGAAAAACCCAACCUGAAGCUAAAGGCGCUACCUUUCCCGCCAUUGUGACUAUUAUGGCUGUGAUAAGACCCCUCCUUCUCUUUCCUGCUCUUCUUCGACUCUCUCCCGCAGACGACGCUCCGAUCCUCCGACACGUCGCCCGGUCGAUGAUUCUGGGGGUCCUUCUUGCUACCACUCUUCUUAAAUUCCGAAGAGUUCGAUUUGGACUUUGCUUUGGAUUUGGAUCGGCUGACGUUGUUGUUGGUGGUGGCGGCGGAGGCGGAGUUGUCCUUUUUCAAGGAAGAUGAAGAGGGCUGGAGGAGGACGGAGCCAUUGUGGGAAACUGCGGCCGAGUACUCGUAACAAGGAGAAGCCGUGGCAGCCGCCCUCUUGGAGCUGAUGCAACCCAUUCACCGCCACCGCCAAAUCCCGCCAGCAUCUAUCGAUCGGAUAAUGUGGGGGGUAGAUCGCCGAUGGAUCGAACGGCGGAGAUCGGGAGAAGGGUCGAUAAGGGGGAGGGGCACCCCUACAGCGUGAGGGCAGUCUCAAAAAUGGGUUCUCAUUUUCUUCAAGCCAAAGAAAAUCGAGAAAACAGAGGCGGCCAUAUUUGGGUGGUUGUCCCAACGAGCCGGUCGUCCUCCCUCCUCGGUUAUUGCGAAAUGUGCGGGGGGGAUUAUGAGGAUGUCGCGACUAACGGACCGGAAACAGAGGAAGCAACAGCAACAUCGUUUUCACAGUCGACAUUGAUUUGCGUACGUGGGUCCCUGUUUUUUCUUCAUCUUUUCUCUUUCUCUGUUUUUGUUUUUGCUUUUGUAUUUUAUUUUUGGGGUUUGUGAUUUGGGAAAAGAGGAAAAGGUGGGAAAUGUAACCGUUGUUGUUUGUUGGUUGCUUUCAUGCUUUCAUGGUGUUUGGUGCGGUGUACCUGGUUGGACAAUGGACAGUCAGUCGCACAGUGACACGGAAAAGAGAGAAAAGGGUAGGAAAGUUUAGAGAUGGAAGCUAGUAGGAAGUACUUCCGCACACAAGUGCUUCUUUUAGAAGCAUUUAAAAAAAACAUGAAAGUACUUUCGUGGCGCGUCUUCAGAGAAUAUUUCCACACUAUAUAAACGUUUUAAAAUUUUUUCUGACAAACAUAGUCAAAAACAUUUUGAAUUAUCAAAAAACACGUUUAGUUAUUCCAAAAGCUAUCAAAAAACACGUUUAAUCAUUCCAAGAGCAUGUCGCCUAAGAAACUUGAGAGAGAGAGAGAGAGUUGUGUGAUGAGUGAUGUUGUAUGAAAUGGGGAGGUGAGGGUGGUGGUGAUGGAGGUUGCAGGCCAACUACCCAACAGCCUUGGUGCUUUGUAUGAUUAUAUAUCCAGAUGCAGGCUAUAUAUUAUUAGCUUUUUUGUCGCCCCUGUAUUUUUGUUUGGUUUUGGAUCUUUGGCUCCUCCACUUGUUCGAUAGAAAAAAAAAAGCAAUAAAUAAAUAAAAAUAAAACACACAAUCUUUCCUAAUCCACAUCAAAUUGUUUACAAUAUACGUCUGUGUUAGCAGACCAUGCUAUUCAAUGAUUACCAGUUUAAAUUCAUUAAUUCUUUUUCAUUAAAUAGUACGUGAAUUAAAAGUUGUUACCUAUUAUAAUCCUAACGUAUUUCCUCACUCUCCGUCACUUGUGACUUGAGCUAAUUGAAAUGUUUAAUGUUUGUUAAUUAAAGUUGUGCUAAAUUUUAUGAGUUGGGAAAUAAGCAAUUUCGGAUUAGAUAAAUAAAUAAUUGGUUCAAAUUAUUGAGUGUUUCAGUUCCUUAUGUGAGCUGUUCGACGUUGGAACAGUUAUUUGGACGCACACACUAAUUUAUGACGUGUUUACUAACUCGAAAUUAGAGAAUGAGGAUCCUCUCCUGGCCUCUUUGUGAGAAUCCUGAUAAUCCUCAAAUCGUGUUUGUUCAUCAUACAUCGUACGGUCAGAAAUCAUUGUAAAUAAUCUUAUUUUAAAUUAAAUAUGAAUACUACUUGUCGGAAACUGACCGCACGAUAUACGAUAGAUGGACACGAUUUGAAAAUUCUCAGAUCCUUAUAAAGAGGAUCCGGAGAGGAUCCUCCUGGGAAAUUAGAACACAUUUACGAUGUAUUUUCGCAGUCAAAAUACAAACAAUAUCCCAAAUGGCAAAUGAGUUGUCCUGCUUCAACUUCUUUUGGUCGCUUUUGUGCCGCUCAUAUAACAGCCCACAUAAGCAGGUACCGACAAAAAGUAUGAACAUCUCAAAUGAGCAAUUAAGCAGAAGCAAGCGGGACACAAUAGCCAGGUAGCUUUGCUUUGUUCCAGUAAAAAGAAAAAGCCCAAAAACGUGCCUGUACCCUUUUCAUGAAACGGAUGUCUCGCAUUUGCUAUAUCUUUGAACGGCACACGAGCUUAUACAUGAGAAAUGUAACCAGAAAGAAACAACCAACAUAGACGGAAAUAACUGAAAAAAUCCAGGUAGAUUCAAAGCACAUUUAUACAUCAGUUGUAUACUUGUAUAUUCGCAUUUCCUCGAGAAGUAAGUCUAUAUGAAUACGACCCUAUUUCUGCAUUCGAAUUUACAAAUAAUGUCGGGCCUAUGCAGCCAAGCCUAUAAACCAUCCACAUGUGCAGCAGUACAUAUCAAAAAGAUCACACACCUUCUCUGUAUUUGUUCAUUUUGCAUCGUGUUAGUUGGUUGGACUUGAAUACUGACCUUUACUUAACGGAUUUCACCAAAGCACUUUAAACAAAGAUUUGUUCUUCUUUUAGCUGAAGAAGUACCGGUCUCUGGUCAUUGUUUCCAUAUUCUCUCCCUUUGAGUAGGGUAUGCUGUGAAGCCCCAGACGCUGGUGGUUUUAACUGUGAUGCACUAUUAUUGGCCGUGUUGUGGCUGCUGUUUCUUGCUGCUGGAACAUCAUGGUUGUGUUUCCCCUCGUAUGUAGUGAUGACGGCUUUGGCGUCAGUGGAAGCUCUCUCAACAUGCUUACGGACAUUGCAUCCCGCAAAAGUGCAUUUGUAAUAGCUUCUGUAAACAAGUUAGUAUUAGAAAACAUGCUCACAAAAGGAAAACCAUUUGGAACCAAAAACAUUAGUAGUAAAUUCUUCACAUAUUGUAAAUGUACGCUAAGGAUGUGAAGCUUUAAGAUCAGAAAGUAGUUGUUCUUAAUCAAUCCGAGCAUAAGUAAUCGUGAAUUCAUCCCAAUCUCUAAAGAUUUUUCUGAAUUCAACGCUAUAUAUCAUCUAAUAGUUCUUGAUUUCACCUCCAUCCAUUAAACAAUAUGCAAAAUUCUCGGAAUACUUAAUUGCCCUUUUUAAAUUCUGGCCAAGAAACAUGCAAGCCUAUUAAUUCAUUAAUAGUGAAUAUUAACAUGUCAGAAACAAUUUAGCAAGAACAACCUGCUUGCCUUUGCACCCUACUGUUAAUUUUUUAAUUUGAUCAUAAUUAAACAAGUGUGUGUAAGAAACUAAAUAAGAUGUAUGUUAAUCAUUUUCCUAUGUCUUUAUCCUAUUACAAAUAGAUUAAAAUUUAGAAUUUUACAAUUUAUCAUAGAUAGUAUUAUUAGUCAUAAUAAAUUAGUAUGGAGUAAUUUUAUUUGAUUUUUUACUAUACAAAAUUGAUAACGAAAAGGAUUGAUGUGUACAUUUUUGUAUGUGAAUACAAUUUUCUUUAUAAAAGUGAAGCUAAGUUCAAGGAAAUUGCGGAGAAUCAAGCUUUAGUGCAAAAAUGGCUAGUCAAUUCAUAAUUUUCGACUCCUUAUUAAGAAUAACCCAUUUUAUUGAAAUAGGUCUGAUCCAUGAGUUUAUGAUUAUUAUUUCUUCUUCUACAUGCUUUAAACCCGAUUCAUAACUUUUUCUUAUAAUCAACCCAUAUCACAUACUAAUUGUAUUAUGUUUUUGUACAUUUUACCCUAUAUUAUGCAGGUGAAUUUAUGUUAAUUUUAGUACUUUGUUGGAAGUUAUUAGAAAGAUUGAAAGAAAAAAAAAGAAUAGAUGGAAAAUUAAAAAAAUUAACAGUAGGGUGCAAAUUGACUAAUUAUGAGAGUUGAGGGGAGAAAUUGGCCAAAUUAAAGUUGAGGGGGGAAAUUGACUAAUUAUGAGAGUUGAGGGGAAAAUUGGCCAAAAUUAAAGUUGAGGGGGGAAAUUGGCCAAUGGUCACAAAUUCAGGAGGGGAAUUGAUGAAUACCUCAUAUAAUGCAAUCAGUAAAACUGAAAAUAAGAAGCAUUUAUAUGGAGGAAGUUACCACCUCGGAUGAGGAUUCCCUUUGACCACCUUUUGCCCGUACUUGCGCCACCUAUAACCAUCAUCUAAAAGAUCAACUUCACUCCUUGUUUGCACAAUGAUUUUUGGUUCUGUGACCGUCUUAUGUGGCAAAGCUACCUCAGAUGCGCCAACGUCUAUGUUUCUGCACUCACAUACAAGGAUACUUGAAUAUUAAGAAGAAAGAAAUGUAAACAAUAUACUAUGAUUUUAUGCAAAAUGAUAGGCUUGAAAAUACCUUCUCUUUGCAUUAGGUUCAUCAGCAUCUCCCUCUUCUCUACUUUCCCCAUCGCCCAACUCUUCAUUGUCAUUUUCCCCCGGUAACUGUCCAGGAGCGGCUUGAGUAGAUUCUUGAUCCAUCUCACGUCGUGAGUACGAAGCUACAUUUUCACUUGACCUAUUUGAAUCUCCUAUCCUUCUUUGUAAUCCGUUUUCAGGCUUAGGCCCAUUCAGAUCACCAUCUUUUGGGCGUUUACUCGGUUGAGGGACUUCAUGGUUAUGCUGCCCCUUGUAGAUAAUCUCAGUUAUUUCGCCAUUAGGAGAACGCUCGACUUUCUUUUUGACAGGGCAAUUCAUAUGUGUGCAUUUGUAGUAGCUUCGAGGAAAUUCACUGCCUUUAACCUGCUUCUGCCCAUAUUUCCGCCAGUUGUAGCUAUCGUCUGCAGGUCUAUCAGUGGAUGAAGGUUGGUAUUUCUUAUCAGAAUGAGAUGCCUCUGGGGAUUGCCUUGCAGAACUUUUAGUAUUAGAUGUUGAGGGCAAUGUCUGCUGCUGUGAAGCUUCAUUGGGCAUUAAGGAUAGUUGACGUUCCUCUGGCUCUGUUGGGGGUGCUACUGAAGAAGGUUGAUACUCAGGUUGCAUGUACACACGAGAUUGGGCUAGUGCAGCUUGAGCAGUAACCUGUGCCAAGGCCUGCUGGUGUGACAUUCCAAAUGGACUCUGCAUCAAUAUGAAGAACAAUACAUGAAUACCGGAUACUAAUUCAAGUCAGCCACUUUCAGAAAUCAUAUUGUAGUGUGUAGAAAGACAAUGGGGAACGAAACACCAACACGAACAUAGUUCCAUAUCGUCUGUCACAAAAAUGCAUCAACAAAUUGACAUGUUUAACCAGCUUUGAGGAACUUUUAACAAAUUGUACAGGAUGUUAAACGAAGGUCCCUUUCGAACAAGAUUGCAUCAUACAUAACCUAAUCUAACCACACUAAACAAAUAAACUCGUGAUUGGCGAAUCGAAUAAUAUAAAUUAUGCUCAACACAGAGGCACAAGAAGCACCAACAUACAGCUUUUGCAAAUGGCAUAACAAAGUUGAUGUUUUGUACAGAAAUCUAACUUUCGUUGCACACAAUUUUGUGAAGAAAUCCAUCAUUUCGUGACAAAAUUGGUGGAAAGAAAGCAACUUUAACCAAAACCCAUCAUUCUGCAAUACCAUAUUCCAAUACUCAACACAAAAGAAAGCACAUUUUACUUUAACUUUGACGUAGCAGCCCAACAGUAACUAACCAAACUCUCACCAACCACCAACAAAACAGAGCAAACCCAAGAGUGACAGUAAAUUUCGUACAGAUUAGAUAAAAUUUACCUGAGGUGAAUAAAAGCCAGGCGAGUUGAGCAACCCAGAGGGGCUGAGCCCCGGAGGAACAGUAAACAAUGGCGGCCGAGCCACCGCCAAACUCAUCGGCCUGCUCUGCUUAAACCCGGAACUACCCUCCCCGCUUUCGGAACCUCCGCCUGAUUUUCUCAAACCAUCAGCUGGGUUCUCGGUAAAAAAGCUCAUCCCCCUGGUGGAACCCACCGGCGAGCCCAUAGCUCCGGCUAGGAGCUGAGAGAAGGACCUGAAAUCCGACUCAGGGUAGGUGUCGAAGAAGUUCGAGACCAGAGUCAUCGGGCCCGGGCUCGCCCCAGAUCCGCCGCUGAAAAAGGCCUCUGCGGACGGCCGCGGGGGGAGUGUUAUCACCGGUCUUUGCGUCGGCAGCAGCGGCGGUGCUGAAACUGUGACUCUGUCAGAGUCUUGGGUUUUGGCGGCCAUUGAUAAGUAUAUCAAGCAAUCAAGCAAGCAGCUUUUUCCUCUGUUUUCCUCUCUCAAAAAUCCUCUGUUUUUCUCUCUCUAAAACUCUCUGUUUUCCUGUGUUGUUUUUGCUGCAGGUGGUGGUGUUUGCUUGGUUUUGUGCUCUCUGCUCUCAGAAGAAAUCGAUUGGGUUUUUUGGUGGUUUCGUGCUGUCCCGAACUUCAAGUGGAAAGUCCACGGAGCAGAAAAUGGACAAUGACAAUUAUUAUUGGUUUUUAUAUUUAAUUUUUAACUCUGUUUAAUUAGUUUAAUUAAAGGAAAACUAAUGAAAAGGGUUUGAAAACUUUGAGUUUUAAUGAUAAGAACAAAAUAAAGGGUAAAGUGAAUAGUACCAGAAUUGACUUUUUAGUGUAAAAAAUGUGGUUUUUCGUUAAAGUAAACAGUACCGGAUGCUUUUUGUUAAAGCUCCCUUUAAUUAAUUAAUUUUUAUAUAUUUUCUGGAGAUUUUAUGGUUUAGUUAUGUCCAAAUGGCAAAUAUGCUCCAAGGUGAAAAUUUGAGACCGAUGGAAGUUUGGGACUUCAAUCUUUUGUUGCCCUACGAGACCGGCAACUAGGGUCAAGACAACUUAGACAACCCACAACACAACGAAAACAUUAGGGGUCGUCUAAGGUUGUUUUCAAAAUGAUUGGCAUCUAAGGGCUCAUUUAAAGUUGCAAUGGAACAUCUUUAUCAUCGAUAGUUUUGAAGUUAAAUCUUUUACUACAGUGUAUUAUGUUUGGAGGGAGUGGAACAACCAUAGAUUCAAGAACUCAUGUCAACCCGUUAUGUGGUUCUCAACUCAAUUAAGUUCACCAUUAGACUUCCAUUGAAUUCUUUGAAAAUCACUCAUUUCGCUGCUAAUUACUCUACUUUACGGGAAUGGAAUAUAACUAUGAAUAGUUAGUGCUUAUUUUUGCUGCUUUGAUGCAGCGUUGUUAGCUUUGCUAUCUAUUUUUCUUAUAGCUGCAUCUCUUUGUUGCGUAUUUGUAUUUUCAUCUACUCUUUGCUGCUUGUAUUCUUUUUUUCUCAUCAAUAUAUUUUAUUUAUAACAAAAUGACUAAAAUUUGUUUUUUGAAUUAAUUUUUAGUAAAAAUGUAAGUAAAUUCUGGAAAGUACUUAAAUUGUUUUUGGAAGCCAAAAAUAUUUUUUUUAUAAGCGCUUUCAGUCAUUUUAAAAACACUCCCGACUAAAACACUUCUAAAACUUCGCUCUAUUGCAAAAUACUUGUAAUUCAAUUGAUUAAAAAUAUUUACCUUUGUAUAUGAGUUAUGACUAAAGUAAAAAAAAAAAACUCCAUUUUACAGCUUCUAACUAUUAUUAAGGGAAAAUUUACAUGUACCAAAAUGAAACCUUAAAAUACCGAUAUAAUGAUAUACACUCACGAGAAAUUUUUAGUAUGCCCGAAACAAAAAAUGCUAGACUAUAUGUAAUUCUACAAGUAUAACACAAAUGUGAAAAUACAUUGCAUGUAAUACAAAGCUUUGUGAAAAUGCGGCAACAGAGGGACCCACGACAGAUAAAGCCCACUCUGAUUAGGUUAUCAUCAUCAAUUGUGAUGGACCCAGUGCUUCUGAUUAAAUAUCAAAUGAAGGGAAGAUAUUAGGAACCGGAUUCCCUCCGGAUUCCAAACAACUGAGCACCCUGAGCAAUAAAUCAGAUACGUUGAAAUUUGAUCUAACGGUUACAAUUAUUAUAACUUUAGAGGAGCCUCUUAUUUGUAGCCGCUGGAUUAAAUUUCAACGAUCCAGUAUCAUUGCUCUCAGUUUUUGGGGAUCCGGUUCCAAGAUAUCCCCAACUUUUAAUUGGAGGCAGAUUCUCUACCCUCCCACUUCCUGUGUCUUCCCGCGCCCUCCUGUUUUAUGUGAUCACGGUUAAACCAUGUCAACAUUUUAUAUAUAUAUUUUUAGAGAUCAUAAGGCAAAAAAAAAAAAUAAUAUAAAAUAUUGACGUGGCUUAACUAUGACCACAUAAAAAGAAGAGCACGGGAAGACACAGAAAGUGGGAGGGCAAAGAAUCUGCCUCCCUUUUAAUUUUAGGAAAACAAAUGAAAAUGGCUUGAAAACUUUGAGUUUUAAUGAUAAGGACAAAAUAAAGGGUCAGUGAAUAGUACCAGAAUUGACUUUUUAGUGUAAAAAUAAGAUUUUUCGUUAAAGUGAACAGUACCGGGUGCUUUUCAUUAAAGUUCCUUUAAUUUUCUUACAUUGUCCUUUUGAAUUUAAUUAUUCUUUUUCCCAACCAAAAAAUUAAUUUAUUAUUCCUAUAUUUUAAAUUUUAUAUUUAUCAUUUAUCACCUUCUUUAUUUUUCUUUUAUUUUGUAUGAGGCCAUGAUCCUUUUAUAUUAUCAGCCAACGCAAGCAACCGCCAUUGAGCUCUGACUUUUUGACAUCUAAAUUUAAAACAUUAAAAAGAAAAAAAGUAAAAAUGUUACACGCGACGCUCUCAGUUUUUAAUUAUAUAUAUAUACAUUUUCAUGAAUAAUUGUCAAAAAUUAAUUUCGUCGCUACAACUAAAUUUCCCCGGUAAACUACCCCAGAGCUCCCGGCGAAGUGUCGAAACGUGGCAAAAGAACAUUCUAGCAGUCGCAUUGAAGAAAAUUCGAAAAUCGACAUUAAUAUUUGUUAACAAUUUUGAUCAAAAAAUAAUAAUAUUGUGUUAGCUGUAAAACUAGGCGUGGAUAGUUAAAUUUGUUGACGUACGCAAGGUUUGCACAUGUUUUGAAAUUUGAGAAAAAGGUCAAUUUAUAAACAGCUGGAUUCGCUUGCUUCGUACGCUUUACAAAUCCACACCACGAGUAUCGUGUAUGGAAAAUUAGUUCUCAUUGGAAGGAUUGUGUGUAAUUUAUCAACUUUUAGGAUAUUUGGCCAGUUAGGUUAGUUGGAGCGGAAAUGUGUCAUCUUAUACAUAUUUUUCGUAGUUUGAAUGAGUUAAAAGUAGAAUAUCGUUUGAUACAGUGAAAAAUAAAACAACAUUCCAUCUUGGAUUUAGUCAUUGUUUUAGUUAUUUGGUCAAUUUAGUCCCCGUGUUUUCAACUUUGCCAAUUUGGUCCUUGUGUUUAUCUCUGUGAGCCAAUACGACAUUUCCAUCUAAUAUUUGCAAAAAAAUUAUUUAUUUGAUCUAAAAUAUUUAAAAAGGAAAUCAAAUUAAAAAUAAAACAAAAAUUACUCUCCUCCCUAACGUUACUUCCCUCUGUUUUCUAUGUCAUAACCUUAUUAAUCUUUCAAAUUGGAAGUUUUUUCUCUUAUAUGUGUUAUUUUUUAUUGAUUUGCAUUUUUCUGUAAAAAUAAAGGGUGAUUAUAUCUCUUAUAAUUUUUCUUAUGAAUUUUUUAACAAAGAUUGAAUGAAAUGUCUUUAAUUGGCUAACAGAGAUAAACACAAUGACUAAAUUGGCCAAAUUGAAAACACAAAGACUAAAUUGACCAUAUGGCUAUAACACAUGGACCAUUUUGACAUUUAAGCCUUUUCACAUACCUCCGAUGCCAUGCUAGUAGUAUUACCGUAAUCCUCUUUGACCUUCUACCCUCCUCAACUUAAUUCCAUUUCUUGAUUUUUCUUUGAUCUAUUAAAUUCAGAAGCUAAGAAAAUGGAGUGUAAGAGGUAAAAAGAAGAGUUAUGAAACUAGAAACUUGAACUUAGGUGCAAAGAGACAGACGACUCAAAUCAGCAUGACAGUGCAUAGUUGAGUGUUGAGUGAAAAUCCAUUUCAUGUAUGACGUGUGUGUGACUUGAAUAAGAGGUAACCCAGAAAGUUUAAAGUCUGCCAACUGUAGAAUCCCCAUACCAAUAAUAGAAGCAGAAAGGUGGGACUUGGAGUAGUUGCAUUAAACUUUGGUGGGGAUCUUGGAUUUUCAUAUUUUGGUAGUUGGGGGCAGCAACAGCAAAAGGGACAUUAUCAUAUCUCAAAUUUUCAACCAAGUUGUGCUCCUCAAAUUAAGAUCUUCUAUGGAUUUUUGUGUCCGGAGUUAGAUGAUUCGAAAACCUAAACCACUCAUUUUAAAUUUUACGGCUUCUAUCCACACAUACAAAACGAAAGGUCCGAAUUUUUCUCUUAAGCGAUCCGAAUCUUCGUAUGUGUUGUCUCUAGACACAGAUCCGGAGUAAUUCGUGAUCCGCAUGUUAUUAUAUCAUAUGAGCGUAUGGAUUACAACAUGGUCCCAUCACAAGCUGCAAAUUGUCAACUUGUAUUUAAUUUUUGUGCAUAAAUGUUUAUUUCUGGUUGCACAAAAUCAAAUUUGUUUAGCCACAAAUUUCAAUUUUCUUUCCCUUUUUAACAAAAAUAUAUAACGACGUGAAUAGUACUUGACUCCUCUCAAUAGCAGGAGUUCCUCCUCGGAAAUGGGAGUUCCUGCUUUCCAUCUAACGAUUGUUUGACAAAAUGGGAUUCUCUCUCCUCCUUUUUCCAUUCCAUUCAAUUUCCUCCGCUCAUAUUCUCUAUUUUAUCUUUUUUUUUCUAUAAAAAAUUAAUAUAAAAUGUUGAUGUGACUUAACCAUGAUCAUUUAAAUAGAAGGGGAGAGAAAAAAAGAGGAAAGAUAAUUCCACUCCUAGUUUGACACACAGAUAGAGAUUUUCAUUUUUGUGAUUUUGACGGGAUGUUUAUGUAUAUAUGUUAAGCUUUGAUUUACACAAAGGGGAAACGACUCUUUGCAUGAAAGGAGCUUAGCAGUGUCACGACAAUAUAAGCUACUGUAAUUUUCUAAUAGGAAUUGAUAUCUUGAGAAAGAUUCAUAAGAGGAGCAGAAAAUUUCACCUUUCUUCUAAAAAAUUUACCUUUUAAUGGCAAAAUACGUACAAAAACAAUAUACACUUCUCUUACAACAAUGGACGCUAUGGACCUUACACUUCCUAGUCUCAACUCUUCAACUAGUUCCAAGGCUUCAAGCAAAUACAAAUUGGCUCAUCAAAUGGGGUUCUACAGAACGGUGCAAAACCGUGGAUGGAAGAUACAUUUGCCCUUUCAAAAAGCAUGUCUCUACAAUGGAGAUGGAGAUAUCACAUUCUUGUCUCGUAGAAGUAAGUUGUGGAGACGGCCUGACCUUCAACAUCGUAUGUACGAACCAGUCUCUGUCUCUUGGCAGGACCCUCGAGCCAACAGAACUCCAAAUGGAACGAUAAUGAUUCUGCAACAUUGUUUCCUACAUCGCAUGGGCAUCCCAUGUACAUGCCUCCGGGCAAUAGAGUCAUCUGGUAACCUCCGUUGAAAGUAAUCAAGUUGUCCAACUUGAUUCCCGUCCAAGGCACAUUAGUGGUAACAUCACCCGCAGCGGAGGUGGAAGUGAUGCCCUGACAUAAUUUAUGAAUGAUGGGAAAUGAAAUGUAAGAAAAGACCGAUACUUAGCAAAAUAUAAACCAAAAAUAAUAGGUAUCAUUACGUUUUUUGAGUAAUGAGUUCUUUGAUUAUUUGCAAUUUUAUCAAUGAAGCAUUUUGAUUUUACGUUCCACGUUCUUUCAAGAGGGAUUUUAUUGGAGUGGAAGAUACCUGAAUAACUUGGCCCUUAUCAUCCAUCUCAAGUGUUGCUACGGUAUCAGCUUCAGCCGUUGUUGAUCCAUAAACACCGCUUCGUUUUGUUACUGAGUGACCUUUCCACGUACCAAGAAAUGGCACAAUCCUGUCUGUGUUUUCCUGAUACCAUUCAAGGAAACUUAAUUUUAUAUAUCACAGCCAAAAACAAAAACGUAACUAUAAAAACCCAAAUUUCAGUGCUACUAGCUUUCUUUGUGAAACUUACCACAUUAUUGUCGAGGGCAGGAGGAAGAACUGCCCCAUCUCCUCUUUCCUCCAGGAAGAUGACAAUCAUUUCGAUAAUGCCUUUUGGGUCCAUGAUGUGGAAAGCUCUUAUUCGCAUAUCUUUGUCUAGUGAAUGCAGACAACUUUCGCAUACAAUUGCAGGACGACGGGAAGGAAGCUUUAGAUUUCUACACAAUGAACAAAAAUUGAAGAAGACAAAUAGACAUAGAGUUAGUAAAACAAUUUCAGUUAGAAAUUCGACGGAGAUCAACAUAUAAUCAUGAAAGAAAAGAAACAAUGUUGACCAAAUGCACCUUAACUCGACAAACCAAUGGACGAGGAACAUGUUUUUACACAAAUUACUAUAGUCUCAUUGUUUAUAGUUUCAUCAGGGAAUCAUAAAGAACAUCAUUUGAGGGAGGAACCACUCACUUUGGUGAUUCUUCACCAGUGUCAUCAUCCCCAAGAACCCCUUGUCUUAACACAGUUUCUAACAUCCCAGCAGUCUGGUACCUUAGCGAAAAAGCUUUCUCAUCGGGGAAGAAGCCAAUCUGUAGACUAAUCACAAUGGAUGUUCAACAGAAAACAAGUCAUCGUAAAAACUAAUCUCUCAGCUAUAUCUUCACAGGCAGUAACCGAUUAGCGAUCCUAUCCCCAAACACUCGGAAAACCUCACCUGUUGAUACUUGUCCACAGUAAACAUGUUGGUUUCUUUAAUUUUGUAUUCUGCCCACUCCACCUCAUCAUCUAAUUCAGAAAACGACGUGCUUGAUGGAGCCUGCAUAAUAUAUAAUCUGCAAAGCAAGAUAUCAUCAAAUCAUCAGAACAAACUAAUAAUGCUCACUGACAUUCAAUACACAGUUUGAAUUUUGUCCAAUCUUAAACUUUUCGCUAUCCGAAGCUUACGUUUGAAUGAGACUGAUGAGUUCACCUUCCCCAUAAGAGCUAGCUGCAAGCUUCGUAUUCACUUUAUGCAACAGAUUCCCAACAGUAUCAAAUUGCUACAAAACCACUCAAACUAAUAAAUAAUCAGAACUAAUCAAUCAUGAGGACCCAUCUGACUCCUCUUAAAUGAACAUAAUUUAUCUGUUUGGCUGCCCAGAAAAUGCAGGAACAAAAAUUCAAUCUUUCACUAACGAAUCCCAGAAACCAAAUUAAGGACCAACCAACCCAACAAAAUUACAUGCAUUUUGCUCAGAAGUUUUAAAAGUAUUGCAGCCUUGACAAACAAAAUAUAAAACAAAAGACCAUUUUGAUUUCCCAUCUUUUGCCUCGUGUUCUCAGCAACCAAACACGUGACAAAUUUUGGAGAACAAACCAGAUACUUACAAAGAAGGAACCUUGCCAAUUGCCCACGUUGAGCUUAACAAAGCGGCGAAGAUUGUCGAUGCUCAUGGCUUCCUCGCUGGGCUUUCGAGCUUCGUCUUGAACUGAGGUGGAGGACGACGAGUUGGAAGCUCGGAUUAAGGGGCUCCGGAUUGUAGAAAUGGGGCGAGAAAAGGGGUUUGGGGUGUGAAGGUUGGUGGGUAGGAGUUGGACUUUGUUGAGGCUCCGUGGGUUGGGAAUGGGAGGGAGUGAAAGUGAGUAGCAGAAAGUGGAAGCCAUGAAAGCAAAGGUAGGAGGAUUCUGAGGAAGAAGAGCUCAGCAGAGUACAAAUGGCUAUUCUGUUUUAUCAUCUUAUCUCAAAAUUGGGCUUUUACGGUAUUGAAAGAGUCCAACCUCAAAAGCCCAUUUUUUUACAACAAUAAAAAAGCCUUCAAAGGCCCAUGUUUUUUUUUUUUUUUUUUGUUAAAAUCAUUUGGGUAAAGCUUCUGUAACGGGUUGACAUGAUAAUAACAAGUUACUUAAACAGUCAGAUCAAUUUUCAUUUGCCAAACACAACAAAGACAUGACAUGACAUGAGAAGUGAAUUUGCGAAUAAGUUUGAGCCGAUGUAUUUCAGUACAAAAAGUUAACGAAUCAAGCUUGAGUUGAGUAUCAUGUUAAGUUUACAUUUAUAAAGCAUAGUUUGCUCAGUUUCCUUACAACACAUAACUCAACAGUCUAAACAAGAUACUAAUCUACUAGAACAAACAUUGAUUUUAUGGGGGUAAAAUUUGAGGGGAAAAAGUGGACGAACUUGAAUCAACAAACAAACAAACGAACAAAAACGCGGACCAGACCUAGCUAAAUAGCGGCCGAACGUCUUGAACUUAGAUCUCAUCAAUCUUAGGGCUGGUUUGGUAUUGUUGUGCUUUGAAAGAAAACUGUUUUUACUGUGUUGUGAGAAUAAGUAGUUGUGAAAUAAAUCAGCAUAGUGUUUGGUAAACUUUUUUGUAAAAGUGCUUUUGAAAAAAAAAAGCAGUAUUAUAGUGUUUGAUAAACUUUUAUGUAAAACAAAUGUGAAAAAAAAAGCUGGGUUUUGCAGCUUUGUGUUUUUGAUUUUUUUUCACCCAAAACUGUCAGAAAAAGCUGAAGCUGACUGUUUACCAAACAUAAAAAAAGCUUUUAUGGCCACUUUUUUCAGAAUCACCUCAGUACCAAACCAGAACUUAUUCUCUUGCGGGAGCCUGCCUUGAUUGAUGUCCUAGGCUCGUAGCCAGCGACGGAAAAUACUAAUUAAAGAGAAAGGGAGUUGACCUCAUCUUGUUUCCAAAGCCCUUCCUCAUAUUUAUACCACUUGAUAAUCCCCAGCAGAUCGACCCUAAUCCUUUGGCACAUGAUGCAAUGAUCUAAUUGCAUGCAGGUUGUAAAUCUUUGCAGCCGAGCAGACAUGUUAAGAAUAACCGGAUCAAGUUUGUCAAGAAUUUCAUCGUAGUAAGAAGGUGGAGAUAUUUCAAUUACAAGGCAAUGUGAUAUAUUGAGAACCUGCAGGUGGCGUAAGCCAUCCAAUAGAAUGAGUAAAGCCUCCUUCCUCAUCUUCGUGCACCGGAGGCUUAAGACGUUGAGACGUGAAGAGAUGAAACUAGGGUUGAAGCGAAUAGUCUAGUACACUCACCCUGAAUGAUCUUCAGUUCCCUAAACUCUUGCAGUUAACAGAAAUCUCCUCCAUGAGGUGUGGAGGAUCUUCUAGGGAAGGAAUCGUCAGCGAUUCAAGGUCUUUUCAGCAGCCGAGGGACUUGCACAUAUAUAUAGAUCGGUUUGGGAUUGGUACCAAAAUUUUCGAGAUUUUCGGUUUGAGAUUUUUUCGGUUUGGGAUCGGAAUUUUUUGGUGUGGUUCGGGAUUUUUAGGAUUUUUUUUUCCAUCCCUAAUACCCAAUGACUCUGUGUCAAAUCAGACUUGCUUGUAACAUAAACAUAGGGUUUAUAUUGGCUUGGUAUGAAAUCUAUUUUCAUCCUUAACAAAUCAAGCGUAGUAAAAAUUCGAGAGGAGCAGUCAAGAAUAACCGAACGCCAUGCGCUACAAACGGCACUGCAACGAACAUAAGCAAUGGCUGAAGUUAAAUCUGAGAUUCUGCUGAGACACUUAAAAAUCUCACUCAAUAUGUCAGGUUUCAUGUCUCCUCAUCUUCGAAAAUCAACAUCUUCCAUUGCUGUUUCUCUUUUUCUUUUUUCUGGUCACCAUCUCCAUUGUGAUUUAGUUGUUUCUUAUGUUUAAGCAAUAAGAGAGGUUUCAGGAGGUUGAUAUCUUCUAAUUGUGUACGGACUAAAUAAAAAACCCUAGUUCCGCAAGGACUAGGAAGGAAGUUAUUACUUGGAUUCCCUAUCCUAGUGUAACUAAUUAAGGAUUCCUUCUUACACAAGAAUAGUUUUCUUACUUUCUUAGGAAUCAUAUACAUUGGAACCUAAGUCUUAAUAUAUAUUUUAUGAACAUUAUAAUAUUUUUUAGAAAACUAGAUUUUAAUCGUCAAAUAAGAUGAAAUUUAGAAAAAAAUGUCGCAUACAAUGUAAUCUAGGGGAUAAAAUUAAUUUUUAAUUUUGUAAAAAUUGAUUUUAGCCCCUAAAAUCUAUUUGAUGUCAGAAAUGCAUUAAAUUUCUUAUUUUAUUUUAUGAUUUUAUGGUGUCCAUGAAUUAAAUUUUAUGAAAAAUAUUGUAAAACUUAAUACUCAUUUGAAAUUCAAAUGAAUUAGCUUUUAUUGGUUGAUAGUUUGAAUCACCAAUUUAUGGUGAGUGUCUUAUGUUUGUACCAAACUUCACCAAUCCUGAAACUACAAAGCACCGAUCAACUUCAUACUUUCGAGGACCCACUGAAAGAGUCGUGUUGAUGCAUUCAUGUCGAAGCACAAGAUUUUCUCUCCAACCAGGAAGCCAAUCACAAACAUGACACGUGACAACAUCAGAAUAAAACUCCUAGAGUCCCAUAUCGACAGCGAACAAAAGCUAGAAACUCUCAUCAACUAUUAAGGAGACCAUUCUCCUACAAGUAAGGCCUAAUGUCAUUAUUGUGCUUAAACUUGUCAUUAGAGCCCACUAAUGACAAUUAUGCUUGAACCUAUGUAUUGUGUAAACUCUUUACUAUUAAUGAGAACUCAUCUACCCCGUGAACAUAGCUAAAUUUAGAGUGAACCAUCACUAAGUGACCGGAGCAAUCUAGCGAAGAUCACAAACUUGGCAUUUUACGUUGUUCCAAAGUCCAUCCGAUUUUAUGCAUUAGUAUCUUAUAUAAGAAAUAUUUUGGUACGGACUUUUCGAGUAGACUUGUAUUUUUGCGUAUUUGCUUAUGUGCCACUAAUUCAUUACAUUAUUUUUAGGUACGAACAUUUCGGUACAAUAUGUUUAGGUACGGACUUUUCGGCACACUUAUGUUUUUGCUUAUUUUUUUUAUGUGUUGCUAAUUCAUUCCAAUAUUUUUUUUUUUGCCAAAUCAUUCCAAUAUAUUUUGGUAUAUACAUUUCGGUAUACUAGUUUAGUAAAUAUAUUAGGGUAUUGAAGUUUAGGUACACUAAUUUAAGCAAAUAGAAAAUGCUGAGAUGAUUAUUAGUCAAAAGCAUGGUCUGAAAUGCCGAUAUUAUUGGUGAUAUUUCGCCGAUAAUAUCGAUUUUGUGAGAGAACGAUAUUUUCACACUUAUCCACUGAAUUUUCGUCAAAACAUCGCGAUAUUUUAGGCUGGUGCGAAUCGGAGAAGAACAUCAGAGUUUCUACAGCUCCGGUCGACUAUAAAAGAGCACCCUAGACUCCGAUCUAAGUAUCAAAAUGAAAUACAAGACGAGAGGAAUGUUUUUAUAACUUCCGUUUGUCGUGAAACGGUCGGAGGUGUUCGGAAAGUUCCUCGACACUCACGGCCUUACCGGAGCUGCGUGUGCCUUCCCUCGGGUCGAUCUCGUUCUAAAACCUUGUUAAAAAAACGAGAUAAAACUUAGUAUAUCUCAACCACACAACAUCCAAGAUGAAUUGAGGUAAUCCGGGGCUUACUUAACUGGAGAAGGAUCAAGAGAACUUGCCGGAGAGUUCAUGGGUUCCACUGUCCUAGCUGCACCGAGAGAAAGAGAGAGAAAGACGAGAUUUAUAUGGUGAUGAUGAUGUCGUUGACGGAGUACUACGAAGGGCGUAGAGGGCGCCGAUGGGGAUGACCGACUUGAGGUAGAGGUCAUGAAAGAUGAAGACAACGCCGACGAGGCGCAAGACGCGGACGAGGAGGAAAGCGAGGGAGGAGCAAAAGGCCAUGUGGGAGAAGGAUCAAGAGACUGAGGUCUCUAUACGUGUAUGUAGGAGAAGGGAGAAGAGAGAAUGAUCAAGAGAUCUGUGUGUGUGUGUGUGGGAGAAGGGAGAAGGGAGAAGGGAGAAAGGAGAAGGGAGAAGGGAGAAUGGAGAAGAGAGAAUGAUCCAGAGACUGAGGUCUCUGUGUGCGUGUGUGGUGGCGUGUGAAAAAAAAAUAUCCAAAUAAUUCAACUUUUACAACUUGUACAAUUUUUGACAAGACAACAAUAAUGGCAUGUGUGUCUGUAUCUGACAACUUUUACAACUUGUACAAUUUUUGACAAGACACAAUACACUUUUGGACAACGUCAAAAGAUUUUGCUUAUAAACAACGUCAACCAAUCUCGAAUCCAUAUAGGUAGCAUGUUAACAAUUACAUGCAAAACUAUUUUGGGGAUUUAUCAUUUGAUGACUACUUUUCAUAAUACACUUACUCUACACAUAGAGAUGAUGAAGAUAGUGAAAAUUUUGAACCUCAUAGGAACUCUAUGUGGUACUAAGUCACUCAUGUAUCUUACCAUAUAAUGUAUAAAGUGUAAAAUAUUGUACUAAUUCAUUAUAUAUAAAUGAUUAUGGUGUGUUUAAACUUCUUUCAUUAAUUACUACAUAUUUUAUACACUCACAAUGUUUGCCAACUCGCUAUAUAAUCAACUUAAAUAAGUUAAAUCCAUCAUGCAAUGCAUUUCCUACCAAUUUUUUUGUGAUAAACUAAUAGAUAAUUGACUAAAUAAACAUCCUGCAAAGUUUCAAUAAAUUUUUUUAAGUUUUUCUUACAAUUUCCGUGAUUUUUAUUUAAUUUUUAUCGAUAUCGAUAAUAUCCCGAUAUUUCCAUCGAAAUUUCCGUGUUUUUUGACUACUGAUAUUUCCGAUAUCAUCGAUAUUUUAUACUUUGGUCAAAAGAACCUUAAUUACAUUUUUAAAAGGCACAAAAAUUUAAUCUAAAAAAUGUAGAAAGAAAGUUGGGAUUCUAAUUGUACCUUUUCUUUUUCUUAUAGCCUUUCCUCACAAGAUCAAUUACACUUCGUCAAUUUACAGUUUGUUUGGGCCUUACAACAAGAAGUAUAACAACAUUGACCGCGAGUAAACCAACAUUCACAAGUUUGUUACACCCCGAGUCUCUCCUCUAAUUCAUUACAAGGCUACACACACCUCCACGCCCCAAUGCCGAGCAACAGCCCUAAUCUUCAACCCUUCGGUUCAAUCAACAGUUACCGGAAUACUGACAACGAAAUCCGUUCCCAGUUCAUUUAUCAUCUGCCCCAAAUCCUUGAGUUUUCUCACUUCGAUGGUGGGCCGAGGAUUUCCGUGCUCAUUUCGGGGGUAGGCGAUGAAGUCCUGCCUCCUGGACGCCAGAUUAUGCUGACCCAAAUCCUGGACAAUUGCAAGAUAAUCAGCCUGAGGUACGGAGCUGUGGAUUAGGAAGCAGUAUUGGGAAUCGAAAUCUCUUCUCGCAACCUCCAGAAGCUGCCGCAUUUGUGCUGCCCUAGUCACCCUUAGAACAAGUCCCCCCUAAGGACUUUGCGCCAGCAACCAGCGCAUUUAUCCACUCAAGUGAACAGUAAUAGACUGGAGUGAACAGUAAUAGGCCAAGGCAUCUACACCCCUAAAAAAAUGCGCUAGCACCCAGCGCAUUUAUUUGGUGUGUUUUUUUUUUUUAAGUUUAUUUCGAAUAAGAUUUUUAACCAAUUUCGGAUAAAAUUUCAAAUAAACUUAAAAAAAAUACACACUAAAAUAAAAUUACAUACUCAUCAAAUAAACUUAAAAAAAACACACUAAAAUAAAAUUACAUAAACUCAUCAAAUAAAUUAAGGAUGAGCUUUUUGGUAUAUUUUUUUCACACAAAAAGUAUAUGAAAGCUUUGGUAGAAGGUGUAGAAAAUAUUGAAAUGUGGUGUAAGGUGGAAGAUGAGGGUUAGGUAUUUAUUAAAAUAUUAUUAAUUUUUAUUAUAAAAUAAUAAUUUUUAUGAAAGUACUCUCUAGACUCCAUUCUUCUUUUUCUUCCCUGAUUUUCCAACUGUGUUGUCAAGCACAGUUUCACCACUUUUUCUUCCCUUCUUCUUUUUCUUCUCUUCAAACCGCCAAAACCCAUGUGAGAUUAGCCAAGUUCGGGCCUACCCCAUGAGCCGCAACCACCAAACGAACCCAACGACCCGCAAUCCCACCCAACCCUCCUCCCCGAUCCCCUCACCCACUGGUGCGCCAACCAAAACUGUAAACCCUUUGCCGUCGAUCCUCUCGAUCCCUGGAGCUCCUCCGAUUGCAACUGGUUCUCCAACGCCGCCUCCGAUUCAGACCAUGACGUCAGCUGCUUCGUCACCGAUCUAUUCAAUCGCUGCAGCUCUGAGCAAUAGCCCAAGACCGAGAGGGAGGGCUUUGGAUAUGGAAGCUUGAGUUGGGGUGGUGGUGCAAGGAAAGCAGAGAGCUUCGAAUUCAGCUCAAGGAGGGGUGGCGGUAUCGCCUGGCAUCAUGUAGGCAGGGCAAAGGCUCAGCACAUUCUGAGCCGGCCUAGAGAUCAGCUUGGACUGGGUGCCAGCCUAUCUGCUCGGCUGGAGUGGAUUGGCUGGGUGCCGGGCCAAUAAUUGGCUGGGUGCUGGCCUAAAGGUUCCCCGGUGGAACUGCUCUUAUAGUAAACAAAUAAUCAUCCAUCACGCUGCCUAAAAAGAAAGAAAAUCUCAUGGUCAGCAAAGGCGGAGCCAUAAUUUUUUUUUUUUUGAUGGGCUAGUUGAAAAUAGUACCAUAAAAUCAUAUAAUUUUUUUUUGCUUAUAUAAACAUAUAAUAAUCAAUAUAAAAGAACAACAAUAUAAUAAUGGGAACUUUAACGAAAAGCUCCCGGUACUGUUCACUUUAACGAAAAACCACAUUUUUACACUAAAAAGUCAAUCCUGGUACUAUUCACUUUACCCUUUAUUUUGUCCUUAUCAUUAAAACUCAAAGUUUUCAAGCCCUUUUCAUUAGUUUUCCUUAUAAUAUAAACUAUUCUCAAAAUUAUAACCCUAACCGAUAAAUUCAAGGACCAUAUAAAUAAUUAACCUACUAAUUAAAUCAAGAAUAAGUAAAUAAAGAAUUAAGAACGUACCAAAGGUGACAUUCAUUGAAAAAUUGGAACGGAAAGUUAUGAAUUGUGGAGAUAGGGAUUUAAUUGUGUAUUUAAAGAACUUAUUAAUCUUUUCUUGAGUAAAAAGCGCAUAGGCUAAAUUAUAUAAGGUAAAUGGUCUUUUUUAUAAAGAAUAGGAUAAAGGGGACUAACUAAUUCAUAGUUUUUAGCAUAAAACUAUUAUUUACUACCUCUCCUCUACUAAAUAUACAUUAAAUAAUAAUAUGUAUUGAAAUUGAGUAGACUAUAAGCAUGAGUUUACAAAAGAAUAGUUCUAUUUACAAACUCAUAUUUACUUCCAACAUUGCCCUAUUAAUAUUUUGUCAGUGAUCAUUUUCAAUUCAUUCGAUCUGAACAACCGACAAUUAAGAGAAGUGUGUAAGAAGUAAAAAUGAGUACAUAGAUAACACUACCUUUAUAGAAAGGAGGUGGCUUGUCUGUCCUCCCAUUUCCUACUCUUCCCAUCUCAUUCUGUUUGUGUGAUCACGGUUAAGCCACGUCAACAUUUUAUAUUGAUUUUUUUUAUAAAAAUAAUAAAACAAAAAGUAAUAGGAAUAUAAAAUAUUGAUGUGGCUUAACAGGGAUCACACAAAACUAGAUGAGAAAAGUAUGGAAAUGGGAGAGCAGACAAUCCACUUCCAUUCCUAUCCCCUCAUGUUUUAUAUAACCACAUUUAAACCACGUCAACCUUUUAUAUUUAUAUUAUUUUAUAUUUUAUUAUUUUUAUAAAAAAAUCAGUAGAUGUAAAGAGUAUGGAAAUGGGAAAGGUAACAAUCCACCUCCUUACUUAAUCGCCAUAUUUCGUUUGCUUUUCGCAUAUCUGAGACUAGCGUUUUUAAUCUUCCGUUUGUUUCCGUAUGAGACUUUGUUUUCUGUGGUUGCAUCGCUUCGUCGUCUCUCUUUUUUUUUUCAAAUUAUUAAGCAUGUUGCUUUGUUGUUCACAAAUUAGCCGUCAAAGUUGUUUGCUUGAAAACAAAUUAAGGGUUAGAAGUUUCUACCGGUUUUUAAUUCGGUCGGAACUUCUUCUGGGCUGAUCUAAUCUAACGUUUCCCGGUGAGUUUUGCGUGUUUGUUAGCGCACCUGUUUUUAUUUUUUAUUUUGGUGGUUUUCGAUUUACAGAUGAAUGUUGCAUUUAUAUUUUGCUUUUGUAAUUUUGGGGGUUAUGUUUUUUAAUUUUGCCUUUGUAAUUUUGUGGAUUUUCUGUGUGCGCUUGGAUGCUGCGUGUGAGUAUCUGAUGUGAUUCGAUUUUCAGUUUCAGGGAACGGUGCUUUUGGAAAUUUGGGGCUUUCGUCUCCAACCUUGGAACCCCUUCGUGUUGAAGGUAUAUAAUAUACGCGUUUCCUUUUGGGUUUUUUACUGAACAAUUUUUUUUUUCUCUCUUUUAUUUGCAGGUGUGUUAUUUGUUUAAAUUUUGUUUUCGAAUUUAGGGAGUUUUGUUUAUCUGUUUACCGUAUCCUUUUCAAUUUUUUCAUGUUUUGUUGAUCAUAAUUUCCAGUGUUGCAUUGCAUUCCAAUGUAGAAUGUUGAGCCUUUAUGUAAAAGAAGACUAAUAAGUAUUAUGACAUAAGUAAUGUGAAUAUUUUUCAUUUUGUUUCUCUCUCAUGAGGAAUUCCAAUGCAAGGGCUUGCAUCUGUAGUUACUGAAAUUAGUAACUACAGUGGACAUGGGCGGGAUCAGAUAGAUAACCUUAGGUCCCAUGGUGACUUUAACAGCAUCCGCAAGCUCUUCGACACCAUUGAGCAUGAGGGCUUGGGCUUGCACCACCAAUUUAAUGUCUUUGCCUGCAUAGUUUCUGCUCUAACAUAGCCUACCACCAAUCUGAAACACAAACCAAACCCACAAAACACAUCACAUAGAGUUCUUUGAAGGGAGAAAGCUUUGCAUUUCUUUAAUCAAUAGACCCUUUUAAGCAAGCAACCAAACACACCUGCUUGGUACGGUUCCUGUCAAUCCUACAAACACAAAAAAAAAUCAAUAAGCCUACAUAAGUAAGUGGAUAAAAAAUUAGCACAUAGCACCUUUCUACAAACAUCUGUUCCAGAUAGAUCAUAUUGAAUUCACGGUUGAGUCCUUUCGCCCUCUCUAGAAUUUGUUUGCGAUUCUCCAUUAUUAACACCCUUUUUCUUGCUAGAAAUCAAUCCUGCGACUUUGUUUGUGCCCUUUUUGAAUUUGAUUGGAAUCUGUUUUUAACCUACAUAACCUGACGUUUUUUGUUGAGUUUUCUGGCUUUUUUAGUAUACCUGAUUAAAUUUUUUUUUUUUGGUGAUUUGCGUGUAGCUGUAUGAUCUGGUUUGAUUUUUUGCUUUCAGGAAACGUUGGUCUUCGAAUAUUGGGGUUUUUGUGUGCAAGCUUGCAAGGAUGCAAGCCCUUUGUGAUCAAGUAUGUAUUUUUUCUUUGAUUAAAUGUUUUUAUUUUCAGUUUUAUAAGCAUUCAUCUUUUACUAAUUGUCUAACAGCUUCCAUGGGAUCCUGCCCUAUGUUGUUACUUCGCGGUUACCUCCAUUGGGUUAAAAAAACCACAGACGCAAUGUAAGUCUGAAAACUAAUCAAAAGGUUGUAGAAAUUUUUUUUAUUUUUUAUUUUUUAUUUUUUUUAUCAGUAAGGUUUUUAAAAAUUCGGAUCAUGUUUGCAUUUUAUCCAAUCUCAUGUUCUAGCAAUGCUUAUAAAGAUGACCUUUAGUUUAUCAAAGGACUCUGGAAUGGUAGAAAACACAAAGGGUCUGCAAGAAUUGAGUUUUAUUUGUUUUGUUUCAUUGAAUAUAGAUAGGAAUUCAAAGAAUGAUAAAAAUUCUUACAUUUUGUUCCAGAAGUUGCAAUUUCAAUCCUACUCCUAGAUCGACUAAUUUCUCAGACGGCCACUGACUAGAGCUUGACAUUCAGAUUCAAUGGCUAGAUUGGCAACAAAUUUAUUGGGAAAUGCAUCUUCAAAGGUAUGCCUCUGGAGCAAAGUUAAAGGUAAGAGAUUAUUUUGUUAGCUUUGAUAAAAUUAUUUGUCAGCCAUUUUAGUUUUUAGCAAUUAUGAGAUUAUUUCUUAUUGAAUAUUAGUUGGCUUAAACUUUCUUACGUCUUAACUAUCAAUGUACAAACGUAACAAUCAUUUACAUAAAAUUCACAAAUUGUAGUGUCAAUUUGAAGUUAACGUAAUGAUCUUUGAAAAUGUCAAAACUCACAUUGACAUAAACCUUUUGCAUAUUUGUAAAAUCUCUUGAGAUCACCUUCCAACUUAAAAUUAAACUUAUAUUUAGCAAAUUUUAUGUAUCAGUACUAAAAUUUUCAAUACGAAACGAAACUGCAUGACUUAUAUAUUGAAGACACUGAAGUUGGGGUAAGUCAUCAUAUCACUCUCAAAAAUUUUUAUUACUUUAGUGAUUGCAAAUUUGGUUCACACUGGAAACUAUUAAUAUUCAAUGGUUUUUUAAAUUAUCGACCCAACCAAAGUGGGUUCCUGUAUUAUGUAUUUGACAAAUAGAAUUGUAAUCUUAUGUAUAUAAUUAACUAAUAAUAUGAUUUUUUUUUAUUGUUCUGGUGGUAUUAUGUAGUUGUUGUGAUUAGAGAGCUAUUUUGCUCCUUAUUUUGUACCUUAAUGUCCAACUUUUUACAUGUUUUACACUAUUAGAACCCGCAGCAACGCGCGGGCAUUAUGACUAGUUCCAUCUAAAAUCGCCUGCAACUCGACUUGAAGAGGGGAAGCAGCAAAGAAAUGCCUUGCUAGACCUAGACCUAGACCAUCAACCAACCUCCCUCUGUGGUCUCUAAUGACAACUCCAUACCCUGCCUCCUCGGAGGCUUUAUCCCAUGCACCAUCACAAUUUACUUUGAGAAAACCAGCUGGGGUAGGAGACCAUGCCGAAUGGGGAGAAAGUGGGAUGUGGGAGAAAUCACCAAGCAAUAGUAAACACGCAGAUGAAAACAAGGAAUUGCGACAAGGGUGACCGUGAGUUUCUGAGUUACCACGCAUAUGGGCACAAGGUGUCUACGUUAUGCAGAGAAAAAAUGGAGAGCAAGACUCAUAAAACACAGCAAGAUUAAAGAUUAAGAAACAAAUGCUUGUUAUUGCGUUAUGCCAUUUCUAGCUCUCCUAACCAUCCGUCUGGUCACAUAACCACUCAACAAACAUACAUUCACAACAACACAGUAAAUCACAAUUUAUACUUGCACAAGAUUUUUCAAUUGGACCAAACAUAACCCAAACAAAUGUCUAAAAAUAAAAAAUAUAAAUUUCACAAGAACACAGUAAAUCAUAAUUCAUACAAUUUCGAAAGAUUUGGAUUGAACAUCAAAUUAACCCAUAGCCAAAGGCAUUCUCUACAGAGGUUUAUGCAGUCAAACACAAAAAAAAUCACAAAAACACAGUAAAUCUGAGAAGAUUGACUGAAAUUAUAGAGUAUUACCUUCAAUGAUUGCUUGCGAAUGUAGAGAACGAAUCCAAUUCCGAAAUCUGGUGACGGAUCCCUUGCUUCCAAUUCAAUUUGAUUCAAAUGAUCUGCAUCAAAAAAAUAUGAUUAGUGCUUUUAAUAUUCAUAUCAUGAAUUAAGCUCCACAAUUGGAUUGAAAUUCGAAGAAAAAUGACCGGAAAUUACCUCACUGCCUUCAAUUUCUUUUGUUUCUUGAUUUCGAAAAUCAAGCGGGAAGAACGAAGGAACGCGAGGAAUGUUCUGCAUCAAUAAAUCAUAGUUAGGGCUUCGACAUUCAUACUAUAAAUUGAGCUACACAAUUGGAUUGAAAUUCAAAGAGAAAUGGCUAGAAAUUACCUCGUUGCCUUCGAUUUCUUUCGUUUCUUGAGAUAAAGGCCCUGUGACCCGAUCUAUAAAAGACAGACGAGUUCAAUUUUCGUCGCAUUCCUCGUGUUCCUUCGUUCUUUCCGCUCGAUUUUCAAAAUCAAGAAACGAAAGAAAUCGGAGGCGUCGAGGUAAUUUCCGACCAUUUCUCUUUGAAUUUCAAUCCAAUUGUGUAGCUCAAUUUAUAGUAUGAAUGUCGAAGCCCUAACUAUGAUUUAUUGAUGCAGAUCAUUCCUCGCGUUCCUUCGUUCUUCCCGCUCCAUUUUCUAAAUCAAGAAACGAAAGAAAUCAGAGGCGGCGAGGUAAUUUCCGGCCAUUUCUCUUUGAAUUUCAAUCCAAUUGUGUAGCUCAAUUUAUAGUAUGAAUAUCAAAGCCCUAAGUAUGAUUUAUUGAUGCAAAUCAUUUGAAUUGAAUUGGAAGCGAGGGAUCUGUAGCUAGAUUUUGGAAGUGGAAUCAGCUUCGUUCUCAACACUCGCAAGCAAUCGUCGAAGGUACUAGUUUGGAUUUCAGUCAAUUUUCUCGAAUUUACCUUUGUAGAAAAUGCCUUUGGCUGUGGGUUAAUUUGAUCUUCGUUCCAAAUUUUUUGAAAAAGCAUAGAUUCUAAUUGACCCUGUGCUGUGAAUUUUUAUCGUUAUUUAUUAAUUUUGACAUUUGUUUGGGUCAUGUUUGUUCCAAUUGAAAAUCUUGUGUGAGUAGAGUUUGUGAUUUACUGUGUUGUUGUGAAUGUAUGUUUGUUGAGUUGUUAUGUGGCUAGACAGAAGGCUAGGAGACCCCAAGAGUAGGAGAGCUAGAUAUUGCAUAACGCGGUAAAUGUAUAUUUGUUUUUUAGUCUUGAUCUUGAAUCUUGCUGUGUUUUUUGAGUCUUGCUCUCCAUUUUUCUCUCCCUUGCAUAGUGCCCGCCUGUGUGAUAUUUGAGAAACUCGCGGUCACCCCUGUUGCAAUUCCUUGCUUGCUACUUCCACAACUACCAACCAACCUCACGAUUCACAUAAUCUUUUAUUUCUGUAUGGAUCCCAAAACUUUUGACCCGCACAGAUUUUAUCCAACCCCAAUUCCACAAUCAAAGCAGGAAAAUAAAAUUAAAUGGAAAAUCGGUUAUCUUUUCUCCCAGAUAUCAGUAUCUCAGUCUGAAAUGGUGUGGUUUGGCAGUAGCAGGGCAUACAAACCAAACCCCCGGUCUAUCACCUCUCUGGACUGCUAUAUUUUAGAAACCAGGUAAGUAAAGUAUGUCAUUAGUUCAUGUAAAACCAUGCAUUAACACAGGCAAAACCCUAAUUAAUAACAAAGGUUCCCAGAUUACUAAUUGUGCAAGAAAAACUAUCAUACCUGGAGCAGCCAUUUGUUGAGACUGAAAAUGGAAUUCUUCUACUUGUUAAAGACCUUAAGUUUCAAACGUGGUAGAACCCUAGUUUGUUCAGAACAUCUUCUUUGCGAGCAGGGAAUUCAAUUACAUAGGCAUAACCUUUAUCAACUUCCAUCUAUCAUGGGGAUUGGUUUCAAGCAUUAUGAGUAGUUAGUGGAUCGUCGGCUAUUUCUUUCUGUCAAAGACAUCCGCAUCUCCUUGUUUGUAAGAAGCGGUCCACCUUUACAACUCUUAAAUCAGUUUGUGCACCAUGAUAACUACAUUUCAUCCAUAUCAUGUUAGUCAAGUCCAAUUAGGUUCCUAACAGUAUAGACAUCAAGAAACUCAUGAUUUACUGCUAAUGAGAGGGGAUGGAUUCUAUCUAACUGGGCUUUCACCCUUUGGCACGUAUGGACAAGAUGCUCCUUCGUUUACUAUUGAUUGGUAACUUCUCCCCCAUCCCACUUUCUCUCCAUUCGGCAUGUGCUCCUUUCCUAUCUGGUUUUCUCAAAGAAAACUGUGAUAGUGCAUGAGAUAAAGCCUCCCAGGAGCAGGGUCUGGAGUUGUCAUUAGAGACCACAGAGGAUCAGUGACUUUUGGAUCUGAUUCUAAGCCAUCAUUUGAGUUGGUCAAGAGCAUGAAUGGCCUCUCAAACGGGCAGGUUUACUUCUUCUCGGGGAGAUUGGCAAGUUCAAGACAUCAUUUUUCAUUACUUCGCUGGUUUUUCUUGCCUCUAUGAAUCUUGCUGUGUUUGAAGUUGGUUAUUUGUUUUGCAGCCUCGAGACAACAGAACUCCAAAUGGAACGACUAUGAUUCUGCAACAUUGUUUCCUAUAUCACAUAGGCAUCCCAUGUACAUGCCUCCUGGCAAUAGAGUCAUCUGGUAACCUCCGUUCAAAGUAAUCAAGUUGUCCGACUUGAUUCCCUCCAAGGCACAUUAGUGGUAACGUCACCCAAAGUGGAGGUGGUGCUGAUGCCCCGACAUGAUUUAUGAAGGGGUGUGAUAUCCACACAUUCUAUAUUACUUAUCAUACACCUUCUUAAUUUUCGGCCGUCGAAUCGGAAGAAUUGAAGAAGAUCAACGGAUAUAAAUUAUCAAGGGAUAGUGAGAAGUAAAAUGAGGUGUGUGAAUAGCACACCUCUUCAUGAAUGAUGGGAAGUGAAAUGAGGAAGAAAAGACUGAAACUUAGCAAAAUAUAAACCAAAAUUAACAGGUGUACUUACGUUUAUUGAAUAAUGAGUUCUUUGAUUCUUUGCACUUUUAUCAAUCAAGCAUUUCGAUUUUACGUUCCAUGUUCUUUCAAGAGUGAUUUUCUUGGAGGGGAAGGACUGAAUAACUUGGCCCCUACCAUCCAUCUCAAGUGUUGCUACUGUAUCAGCUUCAGCCAUUGUUGAUUCAUAAAGGGUAUGAUAUUCACACAUCAUAUUUUACUUCUCUCACACCUUUUUAAUUUUCGGCUGUCGGAUUGGAUGAAUUGAAUAAUAUCAAAGGACAUAAAUUAACAAGAGGUGAAAAGGGAUGUGUGGAUAGCGCACUCCAUUCAUAAGCGCCACCUUGUUUUGCUACAGAGUGAUCUUUCCACGUACGAAAUGGCAAAAUCCUGUCUCUGUUUUCCUGAGACCAUCAAAGGAAACUUAAUUUUACUCAUCACAGCCGAAAACAAAAAUGCAACUAUAAAAACCAAAAUUUCAGUGCUAUUACUAGCUUUCUUCGUGAAACUUACCAAGUUAUUGUUGAGCGCAGGAGGAAGAACUGCCCCAUCUCCUCUUUCCUCCAGGAAGAUGACAAUCAUUUCGAUAAUGCCUUUUGGGUCCAUGAUGUGGAAAGCUCUUACUCACAUAUCUUUCUCUGGUGAAUGCAGACAACGUUCACAUACAAUAGCAGGACGACGGGAAGGAAGCUUUAGAUUUAUACACAGUGAACAAAAAAAUGAAGAAGACAAAUAGACAUAGGGUCAGUAAAACAAUUUCGGUUAGAAAUGUGACCAGGGCCGUCUCUGACAUUUUGGGAACCCUGUGCGAAUUUAAUAAAAAGACCCUCCUUAUUUAAAACAAAAAAAUUGUUGUUGGACAAUAUAUCCAUACAAAGCUCAACAAUCAAUAUCCAAACUUAAUUGAAAUCAGCAUCCCACUUACAAAUUGAAUAAUCUCCAAAAUAAAGUCAUGAUUUUGGGUUCAUCUUUAAAAAAAAUGGAGCACAGCUAAAAUAGAGAUAUGAAAAUACAUUUGUAUUUGUGGAAGAAAGUAAUACACAAGUUAGUUUUUUAUUGCUUAAUAGAAAAGUGGAAGAAAGUAGUAUAUAAGUUUUUUAUUAUUAAAAAAAAGAAGAAAAUUAAUAUAUUGAGUUCAAGCUUCGCUUAACUAAUUGUAAUGAUGCUGAUGAUUUUUCUUUUCAGCUUAAAACUUUUUUUUAUUAGAAAUUUAUACUAAUGUGUAAUAUAAGGGAGGAUCAAAAAAUUUGGGGCCCUAUGCCACUGCACCUUUUGUGCACCCCCAACGCCCCCUCUGAAUGUGACGGAGGUCAACAUGUAAUUAUGAAGAAAAAAAGAAACAAGAAGCUCAAGUAGAAUAACUAGAAACAUGUUCACCAAAUUCACCUUAAUUCAACACACCAAUGGACGAGAAAUAUGUUUUUGCAACAAUUACUAUAGUCUCAUUGUUUAUAGUUUCAUCGGGGAAUCAUAAAGAACAGCAUUUGAGGGAGGAACCACUCACUUUGGUGAUUCUUCAACGGUGUCAUCUUCCCCAAGAACCCCUUGUCUUAGCAUAGUUUCUAACAUCCCAGCCAUCUGGUACCUUAGGGACAACGCUUUCUCAUUGGGGAAGAACCCAAUCUGCUGAUCAAUCACAAUGGAUAUUCAACAGAAAACAAUUCAUCACAAAAACUAAUCUCUAAACUACCUCACCUGUUGAUACUUGUAUACAGUAAACAUGUUGGUUUCUUUAAUUCUGUAUUCUGCCCCCUCCACCUCAUCUUCUAAUUCACAAAACGCAGUGCUUAAUAUAUAAUCUGCAAAGCAAGAUAUCAUCAAAACAUCAGAACAAACUAAUAAUCCUCACUGACAUUCAAUACACAAGUUUAGUUUCGUCCAAUCUUAAACUUUGUGCUAUUCCGAAAUUUACGUUUGAAUGAGACUGAUGAGUUCAUCUUCCCCAUAAGAGCUAGUGGCAAGCUUUGUAUUCACUUUAAGCAACAGAUUCCCAACAGGAUCAAAUUGCUAAAAAACCACUACAACAACAACAACAAAGCCUUUUCCCACUAAGUGGGGUUGGCUAUAUGAAUCCUAGAACGCCAUUGCGCUCGGUUUUGUUUCAUGUCCUCCGUUAGAUCCAAGUACUCUAAGUCUUUUCUUAAAGUCUCUUCCAAAGUUUUUCUAGGUCUUCCUCUACCCCUUCGGCCCUGAACCUCUGUCCCGUAGUCACAUCUUCGAACCGGAGCGUCAGUAGGCAUUCUUUGCACAUGUCCAAACCACCGUAACCGAUUUUCUCUCAUCUUUCCUUCAAUUUCGGCUACUCCUACUUUACCUCGGAUAGCCUCAUUCCCAAUCUUAUCCUUUCUCGUGUGCCCACACAUCCCACGAAGCAUCCUCAUCUCCGCUACACCCAUUUUGUGUACGUGUUGAUGCUUCACCGCCCAACAUUAUGUGCCAUACAACAUCGCUGGCCUUAUUGCCGUCCUAUAAAAUUUUCCCUUGAGCUUCAGUGGCCUACAACGGUCACACAACACGCCGGAUGCACUCUUACACUUCAUCCAUCCAGCCUGUAUUCUAUGGUUGAGAUCUCCAUCUAAUUCUCCGUUCUCUUGCAAGAUAGAUCCUAGGUAGCGAAAACGAUCGCUUUUUGUGAUCUUCGCUAGAUUGCUCCGGUCAUUAGUGUGGAUAAGUAUAUAAAUGGAUAGAGAUAGGAAAGCAAACACAAGACGUACGUGGUUCACCCAGAUUGGCUACGUCCACGGAAUAGAGGAGUUCUCAUUAAUUGUGAAGGGUUUACACAAGUACAUAGGUUCAAGCUCUCCUUUAGUGAGUACAAGUGAAUGAUUUAGUACAAAUGACAUUAGGAAAUAUUGUGGGAGAAUGAUCUCGUAAUCACGAAACUUCUAAGUACCGGAGUGUGGUAUCGUCUUGACUUGCCUUAUCUGUCUCAUAGGUAGAUGUGGCAUCUUCUCUGGAAGUACUCUUCCUCCAUCCAGGGGUGGUAUCUUUAACUGGUGGAGAUGCACAAUGUAAUGUAUCAAUUUCACUUGAAGCUUACUUGUAGUUUCAGGCUUGGUCAAGCGCGAUACAAACCAUGUAGUAGGAGUCCCCCAAGUCGCCGAGCUAGGGGAUCUGCUGAAAGAGGUGACAGACAAGGUAAGCAAUCAGAGCUCCAAGCAAUCAGUCCCAGAUCAGAACUUUGAUUUCGAGUACCGGCUGAUUGUUCACAUUCUCCCUAUCUUGCAGGCAGCAUGAAGGAUAAAGAGAAGAAAAAUGAGAAGAUAUGAUAUGAGAUACUUUUGCUUUUGAAGAAGUAACUUUCCACAGGCUUAUUCUUGAACUGGGCUGGAGGGUUUUCUGGUUUCCUCCAGAGUAUAAGGCCGACUAAAGAAUUUGAGGGUCAAACAAGUCCAUCAAAUCUAGAGUACGUUCGACCCUGCUAAUAUGGGAUACUUUUGCUUUUGACAGAGUAGUGGAUGUAUCGGCACGUGUGCUGUUACGCUUGUCUCCACAUGCUUCUUUGUAUCCUUCUCACUUGCCCUAUUUGUUCCUCUCGUAGAUGCGAUAUCUUCCCUGGAAACAUAAGAUGUUGAAGAUGAGUACUCGAGAGCAAUGCCAGGUAAGUAAUCAGGUAAGGGGUUCCAGGCAGUCAGUUUCUAACUGGAAGCUUGAUUCCAAGUGCUGACUGAUUGCUUUCUUUCUCCUUGUCUUGCAGGUAAGAACAAAGCCAAAGGAAAAGACAGGGAAAAAGCAUGAUAUGGGAUACUCUUGCUUUUAACCCUGAUGAUAUGAGAUAUUCUUGCUCUAGUAUAGCUUGUUUACAGAGGUAUUAUCGGGGGGAAAGAAAGUUGAAUAUUUCGAAAGGCUUCAUUGGGAGUGCCCUUUCAGAUAUGAGGAAGGGUUGAGCAUUUUUGCAGGUCUGCCUGUCCGUUGGGGAUGGAGGUCGACAUAUAUAGGAGUCUCCCUAACAACAAGUAGUAAUGCUAUUCCUUUACCCUGCUUGGUCAUAGCACGGUAGUGGGAGCUGCCAGCCUCACAUGUUUUAACUCUGUUAGAGCACUUUGAAAAAAUGGUCUGUGGUAUCUGGAAAGCUGAUGUUGCGUGUGAAGAUUACAGACAAGCUUUAUCCAACGAAAUCCGGCUCUUGAAGUUGGGAAAGUGGUGCCUCUUCGGUUUUCGAACAAGCAAUCCUGUUGGGGAUCUGGCUCUCGAGAUUCGAAGAACAAUGCAUCUUCGAUUUUUGAGAAAGCAAUCCUGCUGGGGGUCUGGCUCUCGAGAUUCGGAUAGCAGUGUCUCUUCGAUUUUUGAGAAAGUAAUCAUGUUGGGAGUCUGGCUCUCGAGAUUCGGAGGGCGGUGCCUCUUCGAUUUUGGAGCAAGCAAUCUUGUUGGGAGUGUUUUCUCGAAUGUGAGUAAAGGUUGGGCAUGUUUGCUAGUCUACCUUGCCACGAAGCACAGAGGUUGACACACAGAGACUUUCCAAUUAUCCAGCAGUGGUACUGUUCCUUUACCCUUGUGGGUAAUAAUAUGGUAGCUAGACCUUCAAAAUUUAUGUGUCUAAGUUUUGUUAGUAUUGUUUCUUUGCUAUUCUUUUACCCUUCUUGGUCAGAGCGAUGUAGUGGGAGUUGCAAGCUUCACGUGUCUCAACUUUAUCAGAGAACUUUGACAAAGUUAUAUGUGGUACCCAUGAGCUAAUGUUGCGUGUGGGAAGUGGGUGAUUGAACAGUAAGAUUCAUGUGCUUUCUACUUCACCAGAAAUCUUCGACAGAAUGCCCAUAAUUUUCGCAAAGCUGAGUGUGCGUGUGACAGGUGCUGACAAGGCUGGAAAAGUAGGUGCCUCUUCAAUUUCUGAGAUCGGCCAUCGUGGUCUCUGAGCAGCCCAACUUUUGAGAAAGCAAGCGCCUCUUCGAUUUCUGAGAUUGGCCUUCGUGGUCUUUGAGCAGCCCAGCUUUUGAGAAAGCAAACGCCUCUUCGAUUUCUGAGAUCGACCCUCGUGGUCUCUGAGCAGCCCAGCUUUUGAGAAAGCAAACGCCUCUUCGAUUUCUAAAGCUCGGUCGGGUGCAAAUUUUUAUAGAGGCUGACAUUAAGUUCCAAAGCACACUUGAAUCUUCACCAGUAGAAGCUCCAUUCUUGCACUUCUAAGAUCUUGAUUUGUCCGACAUCUUCUCUCUUCAACACCUUUGAAAAUGUCUGGCCCCUCCGACCGUCGUUUUGACUUAAACCUUGUUGAAGAGGCAGCCACGCCUUCUCCAGACAACAUAUGGCGCCCAUCCUUCGUCUCCCCUACUGGUCCUCUUACCGUUGGGGAUUUCGUGAUGAAGAAUGAUAUGACCGCUGCGGUGGUGGUCAGGAACCUUCUCACUCCCAAAGAUAACAGACUAAUUUCCAAACGGUCUGAUGAGUUGGCUGUUAAGGAUUAUUUGGCUCUCAGUGUUCAGUGUGUAGGUUCUGUGUCUAAUAUGGCCCAACGCCUAUUUGCUCGAACCCGCCAAGUUGAAUCAUUGGCGGCUGAAGUGAUGAGUCUCAAACAGGAGAUUAGAGGGCUCAAGCAUGAGAAUAAACAGUUGCACCGGCUCGCACAUGACUAUGCUACAAACAUAAAGAGGAAGCUUGACCAGAUGAAGGAAUCUGAUGGUCAGGUUUUACUUGAUCAUCAGAGAUUUGUGGGUUUGUUCCAAAGGCAUUUAUUGCCUUCGUCUUCUGGGGCUGUACCGCGUAAUGAAGCUCCAAAUGAAUCAACCUCUGAAUGCCUCCUCCUUCUAGGGUUCUGUCCAGUACUGAGGCUUCGAAUGAUCCCCCUCCGGUGCCUUCUCUUUCUAGGGCUUUACCGACUGCUGAGACUUCUCCUAAGCAACCUUUGUGAAGGCUCCCUCUUGUUUGUUUAUUUUGACUCAUGCAUAUGUACAUAUUUGUAACUUAUCGGGGAUAUCAAUAAAUAAGCUUUCCUUCAUUUCAACGUAUUGUGUUAAAUACACCAAAGCCUUCUUCGCUAAGUUUUUUUAAUUUUCUUUUGUUGAAGCUUUGUGAGUGGAGCAUGUAGGUUGAGGUAGUGUUCCCUUAAUUUCCUGAGUGAGGAAAACUUCUCGGUUGGAGACUUUGAAAAUCCAAGUCACUGAGUAGGAUCGGCUAUAUGAAUCUUGGAACGCCAUUGUGCUCGGUCCUGUGUCAUGUCCUCCGUUAGAUCCAAGUACUCUAAGUCUUUUCUUAGAGUCUCUUCCAAAGUUUUCCUAGGUCUUCCUCUACCCCUUCGGCCCUGAACCUCUGUCCCAUAGUCGCAUCUUCUAAUUGGAGCGUUAGUAUGCCUUCUUUGCACAUGUCCAAACCACCGUAAUCGAUUUUCUCUCAUCUUUCCUUCAAUUUCGGCUACUCCUACUUUACCCCGGAUAUCCUCAUUCAUAAUCUUAUCCUUUCUCGUGUGCCCACAUAUCCAACGAAGCAUCUUCAUCUCCGCUACACCCAUUUUGUGUACGUGUUGAUGCUUCACCGCCCAACAUUCUGUACCAUACAGCAUCGCUGGCCUUAUUGUCGUCCUAUAAAAUUUUCCCUUGAGCUUCAGUGGCAUACGGCGGUCACACAACACGCCGGAUGCACUCUUCCAUUUCAUCCAUCUAGCUUGUAUUCUAUGGUUGAGAUCUCCAUCUAAUUCUCCGUUCUUUUGCAAGAUAGAUCCUAGGUAACGAAAACGGUCGCUCUUUGGUAUUUCUUGAUCUUCGAUCCUCACCCCUAACUCGUUUUGGCCUCCAUUUGCACUGAACUUGCACUCCAUAUAUUAUGUCUUUGAUCGGCUUAGGCGAAGACCUUUAGAUUCCAACACUUCUCUCCAAAGGUUAAGCUUUGCAUUUACCCCUUCCCGAGUUUCAUCUAUCAACACUAUAUCGUCUGCGAAAAGCAUACACCAAGGAAUAUCAUCUUGAAUAUGCCCUGUUAACUAAUCCAUUACCAACGCAAAAAGGUAAGGACUUAAGGAUGAGCCUUGAUGUAAUCCUACAGUUAUGGGAAAGCUUUCGGUUUGUCCUUCAUGAGUUCUUACGGCAGUCUUGGCUCCUUCAUACAUAUCCUUUAUAGAUUGGAUAUAUGCUACUCGUACUCCUUUCUUCUCUAAAAUCCUCCAAAGAAUGUCUCUUGGAACCCUAUCAUACGCUUUUUCCAAAUCUAUAAAGACCAUGUGUAAAUCCUUUUUCCCAUCUCUAUAUCUUUCCAUCAAUCUUCGUAAGAGAUAGAUUGCCUCCAUGGUUGAGCGCCCUGGCAUGAACCCGAAUUGGUUGUCCGAAACCCGUGUCUCUUGCCUCAAUCUAUGCUCAAUGACUCUCUCCCAGAGCUUCAUUGUAUGACUCAUUAGCUUAAUACCCCUAUAGUUCAUGCAAUUUUGUACGUCGCCCUUAUUCUUGUAGAUAGGCACAAAAGUGCUUGUUCACCACUCAUUUGGCAUCUUCUUCGUUUUCAAAAUCCUAUUGAAAAAAGUCAGUGAGCCAUGUUAUACCUGUCUCUCCCAAAACUUUCCACACUUCGAUUGGUAUAUCGUCUGGGCCUACUACUUUUCUAUGCUUCAUCUUCUUCAAAGCUACCACCACUUAUUCCUUCCGGAUUCGACGAUAAAAAAAGUAGUUUCUACACUCUUCUGAGUUACUCAACUCCCCUAAAGAAGCACUCCCUUCAUGUCCUUCAUUGAAAAGAUUAUGAAAAUAACCUCUCCAUCUGUCUUUAACCGCGUUCUCUGUAGCAAGAACAUUUCCAUCCUCAUCCUUGAUGCACCUCACUUGGUUUAGGUCCCUUGUCUUCUUUUCCCUUGCUCUAGCUAGUUUAUAGAUAUCCAACUCUCAUUCUUUGGUAUCUAGUCGCUUAUACAUAUCGUCAUAAGCCGCUAACUUAGCUUCUCUCACAGCUUUCUUCGCCUCUUGCUUCGCUUUUCUAUACCUUUCACCAUUUUCAUCGGUCCUAUCCUUGUAUAAGGCUUUACAACAUUCCUUCUUAGCCUUCACCUUUGUUUGUACCUCCUCAUUCCACCACCAAGAUUCCUUUUGGUGUGGGGCAAAGCCCUUGGACUCUCCUAAUACCUCUUUUGCUACUUUUCGGAUACAACUAGCCAUGGAAUCCCACAUUUGGCUAGCUUCCCCCUCUCUAUCCCACACACACUGGGUGAUUACUUUCUCUUUGAAAAUGGCUUGUUUUUCUUUCUUUUAGAUUCCACCAUCUAGUCCUUGGGCACUUCCAAGUCUUGUUCUUUUUUCUCACUCUUUUGAUAUGUACAUCCAUCACCAACAAGCGAUGUUGAUUAGCCACGCUCUUUCCUGGUAUAACUUUGCAAUCCUUACAAGUUAUACGAUCCCCUUUCCUCAUUAGAAGAAAAUCUAUUUGUGUUUUUGACGACCCACUCUUGUAGGUGAUCACAUGUUCUUCUCUCUUCUUAAAGAAGGUGUUGGCUAAGAAGAGAUCAUAUGCCAUUGCAAAAUCCAAGAUAGCUUCCCCAUCCUCGUUUCUCUCCCCAAAACCAUGGCCACCAUGAAAACCUCCAUAGUUGCCUGUCUCCCUGCCCACGUGUCCAUUUAAAUCUCCUCCUAUAAAUAACUUCUCCGUCUAAGCAAUUCCUUACACCAAGUCUCCAAGGUCUUCCCAAAAUUUCUCCUUCGAACUCGUAUCCAACCCUACUUGAGGUGCGUACGCACUAAUCACAUUGAUAAGUUUUUGUCCUAUUACAAUCUUGAUUGCCAUGAUUCUAUCUCCUACCCUCUUGACAUCUACAACAUCUUGUGUCAAGGUCUUGUCCACGAUGAUGCCAACACCAUUUCUCGUUCUAUUUGUGCCCGAAUACCAAAGUUUAAACCCUGAGUUUUCUAGAUCCUUUGCCUUACGACCAACCCACUUAGUUUCUUGUAGGCACAUAAUAUUUAUCAUUCUCCUCACCAUAACUUCCACCACUUCCAUAGAUUUUCCCGUUAAGGUUCCUAUAUUCCACGUUCCUAAACGUAUUUUGCUCUCUUGAACUCUACCCUUAUGUCCUAGCUUCUUCACCAUCCCCCGUCUAAUAGGAUCAAAGUACUUCUUUUGUGUGUCCCGUGUAAAGUUGAUUGGAGCAUAUGCUCCCAAACCAAUAAAUAAUCAGAACUAAUAAAUCAUGGGGACUCAUUUGAUUCCUAUUAAAUGAACAUAAUUUAUCUGUUUGGCUACCCAGAAAAUGCCGGAACAACAAUUCAACAUUUCACUAACUAAUCCCAGAAACCAAGUUAAGGACCAACCAACCCAACAAAAAUUACAUGCAUUUUGCUCAGAAAUUUUGAAACUUUUGCAGCCUUGACAAACAAAACAUAAAACAAAAGACCAUUCACAUAUUUUCCUUCAUUUUCUCAGCAACCAAAAACAUGCCAAAUUUUGGAGAGCAAACCAGAUACUUACAAAGAAGGAACUUUGCCAAUUGCCCACGUUGUGGUUAACCAAGCAGCGAGUAUCUUCGAUGCUCAUGGUUCCUCGCUGGGCUUUCGAGCAUCAUAUUGAACUGGGAGGACGAUGAGUUGGAAGCUCGGAUUCCGCGGCUCCGAAUUGUAGAAAUGUAGCGAGAAAACAGGUUCGGGGUGUGAAGAUUGGUGGGUAGGAGUUGGAUUUUAUUGAGGUUUGGUGGCUUGGGAAUGGAAGGGAGUGAAAGUGAGUAGCAGUAAGGGGAAGCCAUGAAAGCAAAGGCAGGAGGAUUCUGAGGAAGAAGAGCUCAGAGCAGAGUACAAGUAGCUGCUCCAUUGUAAUUUCGUUGUUUCUUAUGUUUAAGCAGUCAGAGAGGCUUCAGGAGGUUGAUCUCUUGUAAUUAUAUACAAACUCGUUUCCCUUGUGUUAUUAGGUUUCCCUUCUUUUAUGAGGAUUCCUUCUUACACAAGAAUAGUUUCUUACUUUCUUAGGAAUCGUAUUCAUUGGAACCCAAGUCUUAAUGUAUAUUUUCUGAACAUUAUAAUAUCUCUUUUUGCCGAACUUUUUUAAACAAACAAAGUUUCAAUAUAACAAUUAGAUUGAUAGGGAACCAAAAUGACCCUAAAAAAAAAAAAAUCCUUUAAUCGUAUUCAUGUGGUGGAGUUUGUUAAUAAUUAUAAUCGAAUCAAAUUUCUCUCAUUUUUCUGUCAAAUAUAAAGUACAAGUGUCGUUUCAUUUUCAUUGUAUCUAUUUUAUUAUUACUCUUAUUUAUUUUUACAUUCAAUUCAAGAUAGCGAAUUUGAUACCAACUUAGGCUGUCUAUUGUGUGGUUUAGCCGAACUCCCUUCUCCUCCUAACGUAAAAUAUAUUGUUAUGCUAAAAAAGAAUAUUCAAGAUGCAUGACAUGGAACCAUCUCCAAUUAUCCUCCUUAUUUUAGGUUUAACAAUUGAAUGAUACUUGACUACCCAAAAGGUGAUUAGUAGUUCGUAUCAAAAGUGUUUGUUGCCGAUUCAUAGCAAUUCAUAUUUAUAAUCAAAACCCUUCAUAUUAUAAAUUAAUCUAUAAAAAUACUACAAAAAAAUUAAUCUAUUGCAUGCCCCCUUCUCUGUCUUUCCCUCUCUCUUCAAUCUGUUGCAUGCCCCCUGUAUCCAUGUCUUCACCAUUUGAUAUGCCCUCAACAUCAUCCUCGUCCUGAUAUUCGGGCUUCACACGCCGAACGGGGAUUGUAACGGAGUACACGGUGCCUAGGUCCUGAUCCUCCGAGACACUAAGCUGGACUUUAUCCUUCGAGUCUAUUUCCACAAAAUCGGACAGAGCUCCGACAAUGUUGCUUACAAUCUUCUGUUUCGCCUCAUCAGUUACUGUGCAUCGAUCAGAGAAGAGGAUCAUCUGCAACCGCUGCUUUGCAAUCUUUGCAUUGGAAGUCCUUCGUGUCGAUGGUGAAGGGAGCAAUAUCUUACAUGCCAUUCAAGCGCUCGAAAAAGCUCAUGUUUAUAGCAUUGAGGAGAAAGCCUUCUGUUUCUUGGCUUAUAGGUCCCGGAAAGAGUUCACUGUUUCCUUCAAUUCCAAAUGAUUGGUCAUAGUGACACUUCGAGUUCGAGCUAUAGCAAACUAGAUUUGAGAAAGACGUUUGAUUCAUCAGAGGAAAACUACCUCCGCCAUUGAAACCGUUAUAUUUUACCUGCAGAUAUACGAGAGAGCAUCAGACCUGAAAUAUAAACCGUUCCUUGAAGUUGAAGCCAUAUGACGGCAGUAGGUGUUUGAGAGGAUUGUUGACAAAUCUAAUACAACAGAUUUCAGUAAAAGGGUAAUGCUAGGGAGACUCAAUUUGUAAACUAAAUUUCGAAAACUAAAGGAUAUGGAAGUUGAUGGUUGGUUUAUUGCUUAAGCGACAUGCUUACACUAAACAAAAGAAUCAGGCGCUAUGCGUUACUCCCAAACCUCCCGGUUUAGGUAUUCUUCAAAUGAAAUCUGAAAAACUAGUCAAAUCCAAAUUUCUAAAAUUUACUUGAUAGCAGGGAAAAUUAGUGCAAAAUCUCAGCACCUACAUAAUGAAAGCAGUAAAAAAUUUGCCCCACCAUUCACCUUCCAGAAAAAAGCACCUACAUAACUGCUGCUUUGAUAUUUCCAUCCAAUAAUGUUUCUUUUCAUAUUAAAUUUUCAUAAAUUGACAUUAAAAGGAUAAAUAGACAGAACAACGACAAGAACACAAAAAAAAAGCAGAACCGGCAGCCAUAGAAAUCAAAUUGUAAACAAGACUUGCGAAUUUCCAGCAAUGAAUGAGGCAACUGGAGAUAAAUCUAGAAACCCAGUUGGAUAAAUGCAUGAAAUUUCAAAUCUUUUGCAGAAAAAGAAGCAAAAAUAAAAGGGGGAAAAUGCAAACCUUGGAGGGUUGGAGAGAGAUUCCCAGAGAGUGGUGGUGCUUAAAAGGGAAAGUUCCAAAAAUUGCAGAGAUUCCAAAAUCACCAGAAAAAGCCAUUUUUCUUUUACUAUCUAAAUAUGUAUGAAAUCUUCGGAAAUAUAUCAACUGGGUUUUUGUUUCUCUCAGAGCUCCAGCUGAAGUGUGGCGUUAUGUACUUGGGUAGGUUUUUAACGGUCAUGACGGAAGAAAGAGGGAAACCAGCAGAGGGUAUUAAUGUAAUUGUGUAACUAAAUUGUCUUUACUUCGAAAAGGAAAAAAAAAAAAUCCUAGAUAAUACCUUGUUUCAUAAGAUUACCCUUUGCUUGUUCUUCAAAUCUACUAACUUUUCAAGGACAUGCAAUGCAUGUAGAUUGUCGACAAGAAAAUUGGAUGUUGCGCCAAGAAAAUCAGAAACUCUGUAUUUGUGCGUCGGUCAAAUCUAGGGAGCUUACAAACAAGCAAGGCAGUCUAGGGAUUUUUGAGAUCCGAGAUGAUGUCAAAAAAUAUGUCAUCAUUUUAUAUAAGAAAAUUAUUUGUUUUCAUAUGUAAAAUAUCGAUAAAAUGAUAUUUAGAAAAGCACUUCAAACUUAAUAAUUUAUAAACACGGAAAAACUAAUUUAUUUUGUAUCGUAAGAAGGAAACAAAAAAAACUCCGGAUUUACAAGUAGAUAGAUAUGCGUUUUGUUUUCCAUCUGAACUUUUAAAGUGUUUUUGUAUAAAUCGUGAGGUAUUUUUUCUUAUUUACUAACUUUGUCAAUAUGAGACAAAAAAUAAUUAUGUUUUUGAGUCUUUAAUUGAACUUAGGAUCUCUCGUUAAUUUUAAACAACAAAAACCAUUGAUUCUAAUUAAACUUCUUGAUCAUUUAGCGAAAUUUUAUAUAUUUAUACUCUUAUGAAAAGAAAUUUGUAAAAGUUGAAAAGUAAAUAAGCACACACGGUGUUUUGAAGCCAAGAUCUCCUCAUUAAUUUCAAACAACAAAACCACCAGUUCUAGUUAAAUUUCCUUGUUAUUGAUCCAAAUUUUAUAAAUUUAUACUCUUAUGAAAACAUAUAUAAAUAUACCACCCUCAUAAUUUUGGUGUCCCUAAUUAUUUUGGGCCCCGAACGGUCACCCUGCUUGCAUUGGGCCUGGGCCGGCAUUGCAAAGAAGGGGAGGGGAAGUGAUGACACAAUUGGGCUUUGUUGUUUAGGCGAGGAAAUAGAGUAUUGUCUCAUAUUGAAAAGUUAAGACACUUUGCAUCAAAUAAAGUUUGGUUAAUCCGGUUAUUGUUAACUGGUUUAAGAUGAAACCUUAACAUUCCUCAGUUGAGACAGUGAAGUUGAGUUUGUUGUGCUAGUACUCGUAUAUGGACAGUUUUAGAAUAAGUGUGUGCAUGGACUAUAUGCUUAAAUGGUGAGUGAACUCAAAUGAUCGUAGAGUUCAAACAAAAAUCGAGGAAGUGAAAAUUAGAGUAUUCUAACCAACAAAUGAACAAACUAUAAAGACUAUUUUAUUAAAAGGAAAAAUAAAGAAACAAGAAUGUUAAGAAGGUUACAAAUUGAGGACUACAUUUUGACUAAUUUUAAUUUCUAAUAAGCAAGAUAUACAACUCAAAUACUAACCUAACAAGAAAACUCAAAUAAUUUAAUAAACCUGAAAAUACUAUUAUUUUCCAACAAAUUAAUAUUCAAAAGAAACAAUCCAUCUCAUUUAAAUCGAAACCUCAACAUUAUACAUCUAUCUGUCGAAAGAAAUCGGGUCUAUUUUCCCACAAAACUAAUUAUUAUUAGUUUCAUAGUAACUAUUCAUCUAUUCAAAGCAAGGGAGUCCACCUCAUCUUCAUGCCACCUGUCCUCCUUGUCCCUUUGGUGACAAACUCGGCAAACGAUACAACGAUCGAAUUGCAUGCAUGUUAUAAAACUCUGCAACCGAGAAGCCUUGUCAAGAAUUAUCCAAUUAAUUUGUACCCAGAAGCAAUGUGAAAUAUUGAGAACUUGUAGCUGUUUUAGGUCAUUCAAUAUAAUGUGUAAAUCGCUACUCGUGAACUUAGUGCACCGGAGGCUUAAAACCUUCAGUUUCGGAAGAUAUGCAACUAGGGUUGAAGCAAAGCCACGAUCACAAGUACCCAUAAGUUUAAGUUCACUGAAGUUUUUACAGUUGCUGGAAAUCUGCUCCAACAGGUACGGGAAAUUUGUAUUAUCGGGAGAUAUUGUCAGCGACACGAGGUCUUUCCAGCAGCGAAAGGCCUCGUAUAUUCCAGUGUCGCUUAUUGUGAAGCAACUUGGAAGAACCAGUCGUUUUAACUUUAGGCACCUACAUGAGAUUGUUUUAGGGAAACAACUAGUCAUCAAGAUAUUCACCUUGUCAAUACACAGUUAAAGAGUUUGUUCAAAUUAUCUUCUAGGUUUAUAGACAAUCCGUUAAAAUAAUUGGAAAUCAAAUUCUUAUUCUUGAAAUAAUUAAAAUUGAAUAUUGAUGACAUGUCAAUCAAAUAUCAACAACAUAAUAAUUUUACAUGUUAUAUCUGUUUGUACUACUAUUUAAGACUAUUUAAGACUAUUUAAGAGCAAUGGUUAUAAAAAAAAAAGGGUUUGAUUGACAUGUCAAAUUAUCUUCUAGGUUUAUAGACAAUCCGUUAGAAUAUUAGCUCCAGAAAUCUUCAACAGCCGGCACUCCAUGAUCACGUCGAAUCCUUAUGAAAAUGAAUCCAGAACAAAAUCGCGCUAAAGCUAGGGCGUCACCCGUAAGUGGCGCGCUGUGUGGCCCGAGCACAGUGAUAAGUGAGCAAGGGUCGCUGUAUCUCCAUCGGCACCCGGAUGCAGUGUUAAAUGAGCAAGGGGGCCGUAGAAACUUCUUUUCGAACGACUCCACUCAAAGUUGUUUGGGAGCAUAUGCUCCUAUCAACUUUACACGGGACACACAAAAGAAGUACUUUGAUCCUAUUAGACGGGGGAGGGUGAAGAAGCUAGGACAGAAGGGUAGAGUUCAAGAGAGCAAAAUGCGUUUAGGAACGUGGAAUAUAGGAACCUUAACGGGAAAAUCUAUGGAAGUAGUGGAAGUUAUGGUGAGGAGAAGGAUAAAUAUUAUGUGCCUACAAGAAACUAAGUGGGUUGGUAGUAAGGCAAAGGAUCUAGAAAACUCAGGGUUUAAACUUUGGUAUUCGGGCACAAAUAGAACGAGAAACGGUGUUGGCAUCAUCGUGGACAAGACCUUGACACAAGAUGUUGUAGAUGUCAAGAGGGUAGGAGAUAGAAUCAUGGCAAUCAAGAUUGUAAUAGGACAAGAACUUAUCAAUGUGAUUAGUGCGUACGCACCUCAAGUAGGGUUGGAUACGAGUUCGAAGGAGAAAUUUUGGGAAGACCUUGGAGACUUGGUGCAAGGAAUUGCUCAGACGGAGAAGUUAUUUAUAGGAGGAGAUUUAAAUGGACACGUGGGCAGGGAGACAGGCAACUAUGGAGGUUUUCAUGGUGGCCAUGGUUUUGGGGAGAGAAACGAGGAUGGGGAAGCUAUCUUGGAUUUUGCAAUGGCAUAUGAUCUCUUCUUAGCCAACACCUUCUUUAAGAAGAGAGAAGAACAUGUGAUCACCUACAAGAGUGGGUCGUCAAAAACACAAAUAGAUUUUCUUCUAAUGAGGAAAGGGGAUCGUAUAACUUGUAAGGAUUGCAAAGUUAUACCAGGAGAGAGCGUGGCUAAUCAACAUCGCUUGUUGGUGAUGGAUGUACAUAUCAAAAGAGUGAGACAAAAAGAACAAGACUUGGAAGUGCCCAAGGACUAGAUGGUGGAAUCUAAAAGAAGAAAAACAAGCCAUUUUCAAAGAGAAGGUAAUCACCCAAUGUGCGUGGGAUAGAGAGGGGGAAGCUAGCCAAAUGUGGGAUUUCCAUGGCUAGUUGUAUCCGAAAAGUAGCAAAAGAGGUAUUAGGAGAGUCCAAGGGCUUUGCCCCACACCAAAAGGAAUCUUGGUGGUGGAAUGAGGAGGUACAAACAAAGGUGAAGGCUAAGAAGGAAUGUUGUAAAGCCUUAUACAAGGAGAGGACCGAUGAAAAUGGUGAAAGGUAUAGAAAAGCGAAGCAAGAGGCGAAGAAAGCUGUCAGAGAAGUUAAGUUAGCGGCUUACGACGAUAUGUAUAAACGACUAGAUACCAAAGAAGGAGAGUUGGAUAUCUAUAAACUAGCUAGAGCAAGGGAAAAGAAGACAAGGGACCUAAACCAAGUGAGGUGCAUCAAGGAUGAGGAGGGAAAGGUUCUUGCUACAGAGAACGCGGUUAAAGACAGAUGGAGAGGUUAUUUUCAUAAUCUUUUCAAUGAAUGACAUGAAAGGAGUGAUUCUUUAGGGGAGUUGAGUAACUCAGAAGAGUGUAGAAACUACUCUUUUUUAUCGUCGAAUCCGGAAGGAAGAAGUGGUUGUAGCUUUGAAGAAGAUGAAGCAUAGAAAAAGCAAUAGGCCCAGACGAUAUACCAAUCGAAGUGUGGAAAGUUUUGGGAGAGACAGGUAUAACAUGGCUCACUGACCUUUUCAAUAGGAUUUUGAAAACGAAGAAGAUGCCAAAUGAGUGGCGAAUGAGCACUUUGGUGCCUAUCUACAAGAAUAAGGGCGACGUACAAAAUUGCAUGAACUAUAGGGGUAUUAAGCUUAAUGAGUCAUACAAUGAAGCUCUGGGAGAGAGUCAUUGAGCAUAGAUUGAGGCAAGAGACACGGGUUUCGGACAACCAAUUCGGGUUCAUGCCAGGGCGCUCAACCAUGGAGGCAAUCUAUCUCUUACGAAGAUUGAUGGAAAGAUAUAGAGAUGGGAAAAAAGGAUUUACACAUGGUCUUUAUAGAUUUGGAAAAAGCGUAUGAUAGGGUCCCAAGAGACAUUCUUUGGAGGAUUUUAGAGAAGAAAGGAGUACGAGUAGCAUAUAUCCAAGCUUAUAAAGGAUAUGUAUGAAGGAGCAAAGACUGCCGUAAGAACUCAUGAAGGACAAACCGAAAGCUUUCCCAUAACUGUAGGAUUACAUCAAGGCUCAUCCUUAAGUCCUUACCUUUUUGCGUUGGUAAUGGAUGAGUUAACAGGACAUAUUCAAUAUGAUAUUCCUUGGUGUAUGCUUUUCGCAGACGAUAUAGUGUUGAUAGAUGAAACUCAGGAAGGGGGUAAAUGCAAAGCUUAACCUUUGGAGAGAAGUGUUGGAAUCUAAAGGUCUUCGCCUAAGCCGAUCAAAGACAGAAUAUAUGGAGUGCAAGUUCAGUGCAAAUGGAGGCCAAAACGAGUUAGGGGUGAGGAUCGGAGAUCAAGAAAUACCAAAGAGCGACCGUUUUCGUUACCUAGGAUCUAUCUUGCAAUAAGAACGGAGAAUUAGAUGGAGAUCUCAACCAUAGAAUACAAGCUGGAUGGAUGAAGUGGAAGAGUGCAUCUGGCGUGUUGUGUGACCGCCGUAUGCCACUGAAGCUCAAGGGAAAAUUUUAUAGGACGGCAAUAAGGCCGGCGAUGCUGUAUGGCACAGAAUGUUGGGCGGUGAAGCAUCAACACGUACACAAAAUGGGUGUAGCGGAGAUGAGGAUGCUUCGUUGGAUGUGUGGGCACACGAGAAAGGAUAAGAUUAGGAAUGAGGAUAUCCGGGGUAAAGUAGGAGUAGCCGAAAUUGAAGGAAAGAUGAGAGAAAAUCGGUUACGGUGGUUUGGACAUGUGCAAAGAAGGCCUACUGACGCUCCGAUUAGAAGAUGCGACUAUGGGACAGAGGUUCAGGGCCGAAGGGGUAGAGGAAGACCUAGGAAAACUUUGGAAGAGACUCUAAGAAAAGACUUAGAGUACUUGGAUCUAACGAAGGACAUGACACAGGACCGAGCACAAUGGCGUUCUAAGAUUCAUAUAGCCGAUCCCACUCAGUGACUUGGAUUUUCCAAGUCUCCAACCGAGAAGUUUUCCUCACUCGGGAAAAUUAAGGGAACACUACCCCAACCUACAUGCUCCACUCAGAAAGCUUCAACAUACAAGCUUCAACAAAAGAAAAUUCAAAGAACUUAGCGAAGAAAGGCUUUGGUGUAUUUAACACAAUACGUUGAAAUGAAGGAAAGCUUAUUUAUUGAUAUCCCCGAUAAGCUACAAAUAUGUACAUAUACAUGAGUCAAAAUAAACAAACAAGAUGGAGCCUUCACAAAGGUUGCUUAGGAGAAGUCUCAGCAGUCGGUAGAGCCCCAGAAAGAGAAGGCAUCGGAGGGGGAUCAUUCGGAGCCUCAGUACUGGACAGAACCCUAGAAGGAGGAGGCAUCAGAGGUUGAUCAUUUGGAGCUUCAUUACGCGGUACAGCCCCAGAAGACGAAGGCAAUAAAUGCCUUUGGAACAAACCCACAAAUCUCUGAUGAUCAAGUAAAACAUGACCAUCAGUUUCCUUCAUCUGGUCAAGCUUCCUCUUCAUGUUUGUAGCAUAGUCAUGUGCGAGCCGGUGCAACUGUUUAUUCUCAUGCUUGAGCCCUCUAAUCUCCUGUUUGAGACUCAUCACUUCGGCCGCCAAUGAUUCAACUUGGCGGGUUCGAGCAAAUAGGCGUUGGGCCAUAUUAGACACAGAACCUGCACACUGAACACUGAGAGCCAGCGAAUCCUUAACAGCUAACUCAUCAGACCGUUUGGAAAGUAGUCUGUUAUUUUUGGGAGUGAGAAGGUUCCUGGCCACCACCGCAGCGGUCAUAUCAUUCUUCAUCACGGAAUCCCCAACGGUAAGAGGACCAGUAGGGGAGACGAAGGAUGGGCGCCAUAUGUUGUCUGGAGAAGGCGGGGCUGCCUCUUCAAAAAAGUUCAAGUCAAAACGACGGUCGGAGGGGCCAGACAUUUUCAAAGGUGUUGAAGAGAGAAGAGGUCGGACAAAUCAAGAUCUUAGAAAUGCAAGAAUGGAGCUUCUACUGGUGGAGAUUCAAGUGUGCUUUGGAACUUAAUGCCAGCCCCUAUAAAAAAGCUGCACUCGACGGAGCUUCGGACAUCGAAGAGGCGUCCUGCUCAGAAAUCGAAGAGGCGUUUGCUUUCUCAAAAGCUGGGUUGCUUAGAGACCACGAGGGUUGAUCUCAUAAAUCGAAGAGGUGUUUGCUUUCUCAAAAGUUGGGCUGCUCAAAGACCACGAAAGGCCGAUCUCAGAAAUCGAAGAGGCGCUCGCUUUCUCAAAAGCUGGGCUCCUCAGAGACCACGAGGGCCGAUCUCAGAAAUCGAAGAGGCACCUACUUUUCCAGCCUUGUCAGCACCUGUCACACGCACGCACACUCAGCUUUGCGGAAAUUAUGGGUAUUCUGUCGAAGAUUUAUGGGGAAGUAGAAAAACACAUGAAUCUUACUGUUCAAUCACCCACUUCCCAUACGCAACAAUAGCUCAUGGGUACCACAUAUAACUUUGCCAAAAUUCUCUGCCAAAGUUGAGCACGUGAAGCUUGCAGCUCCCACUACAUCGCUCUGACCAAGAAGGGUAAAAGAAUAGCAAAGAAACAGCACUAACAAAGUUUAGACCCAUAAAUUUUGAAGGUCUAGCUACCAUAUUAUUACCCACAAGGGUAAAGGAACAGUACCACUGCUGGAUAAUUGGAAAGUCCCUUUGUGUCAACCUUCGUGCUUCGUGGCAAGGUAGACUAGCAAACAUGCCCAACCUUUACUCACAUCCGAGAAAACACUCCCAACAAGAUUGCUUACUCCAAAAUCGAAGAGGCACCGCCCUCCGAAUCUCGAGAGCCAGACUUCCAACAUGAUUACUUUCUCAAAAAUCGAAAAGACACUGCUCCCCGAAUCUCGAGAGCCAGACCCCCAGCAUGAUUGCUUUCUCAAAAAUCGAAGAGGCAUCGUUCUCCGAAUCAAUCGAAGAGGCGCUCGCUUUCUCAAAAGCUGGGCUGCUCAGAGACCACGAUGGCCGAUCUCAGAAAUCGAAGAGGCACCUACUUUUCUAGCCUUGUCAGCACCUGUCACACGCACACUCAGCUUUGCGAAAAUUAUGGGCAUUUUGUCGAAGACUUCUGGUGAAGUAGAAAGCACAUGAAUCUUACUGUUCAACCACCCACUUCCCACACGCAACAAUAUCUCAUGGGUACCACAUAUAACUUUGCCAAAGUCUCUGCCAAAGUUGAGCACGUGAAGCUUGCAGCUCUCACUACAUCGCUCUGACCAAGAAAGGUAAAAGAAUAGCAAAGAAACAGCACUAACAAAGUUUAGACACAUAAAUUUUUGAAGGUCUAGCUACCAUAUAUUAUUACCCACAAGGGUAAAGGAACAGUACCACUGCUGGAUAAUUGGAAAGUCCCUUUGUGUCAACCUUCGUGCUUCGUGGCAAGGUAGACUAGCAAACAUGCCCAACCUUUACUCACAUCCGAGAAAACACUCCCAACAAGAUUGCUUACUCCAAAAUCGAAGAGGCACCGCCCUCCGAAUCUCGAGAGCCAGACUCCCAACAUUAUUACUUUCUCAAAAAUCGAAGAGACACUGCUCUCCGAAUCUCGAGAGCCAGACCCCCAGCAUGAUUGCUUUCUCAAAAAUCGAAGAAGCAUCGUUCUCCGAAUCUCGAGAGCCAGAUACCACAUACCACUUUUUCAAAGUGCUCUGACAGAGUUAAAACAUGUGAAGCUGGCAGCUCCCACUACCGUGCUAUGACCAAGCAGGGUAAAGGAAUAACAUUACUACUUGUUGUUAGGGAGACUCCUAUAUAUGUCGACCUCCAUCCCCAACGGACAGGCAGACCUGCAAAAAUGCUCAACCCUUCCUCAUAUCUGAGAGGGCACUCCCAACGAAACCUUUCGAAAUAUUCAGCUUUCUUUCCCCCCGAUAAUACCUCUGCAAACAAGCUAUACUAGAGCAAGAAUAUCUCAUAUCAUCAGGGUUAAAAGCAAGAGUAUCCCAUAUCAUGCUUUUUCCCUGUCUUUUCCUUUGGCCUUGUUUUUACCUGCAAGACAAGGAGAAAGAGAGCAAUCAGUCAGCACUUGAAAUCAAGCUUCCAGCCAGGAACUGACUGCCUGGAACCCCUUACCUGAUUACUUACCUGGCAUUGCUCUCGAGUACUCAUCUUCAACAUCUUAUGUUUCCAGGGAAGAGAUACCGCAUCUGCUUGAGGAACAGAUAGGGCAAGUGCGAAGGAUACAAGGAAGCAUGUGGAGACAAGCGUAACAGCACACACGUGCCGAUACAUCCAUUACUCUGUCAAAAGCAAAAGUAUCCCAUAUCAGCAGGGUCGAACGUACUCUAGAUUUGAUGGACUUGUUUUGACCCUCAAAUUCUUCAGUCGGCCUUAUACUCUGGAGGAAACCAGAAAACCCUCCAGCUCAGUUCAAGAAUAAGCCUGUGGAAAGUUACUUCUUCAAAAGCAAAAGUAUCCCAUAUCAUCUCUUCUCAUUUUUCUUCUCUUUAUCCUUCAUGCUGCUGCAAGAUGGGGAGAAGGUGAACAAUCAGCUGGAGCUCUGAUUGCUUACCUUGUCUGUCACCUCUUUCAGCAGAUCCCCUAGCUCGGCGACUUGGGGGACUCCUACUACAUGGUUUGUAUCGCGCUGGACCAAGCCUGAAACUACAAGUAAGCUUCAAGUGAAAUUGAUACAUUACCUUGUGCAUCUCCACCAGUUAAAGAUACCACCCCUGGAUGGAGGAAGAGUACUUCCAGAGAAGAUGCCACAUCUACCUAUGAGACAGAUAAGGCAAGUCAAGACGAUACUACACUCCGAUACUUAGAAGUUUCGUGAUUACGAGAUCAUUCUCCCACAAUAUUUCCUAAUGUCAUUUGUACUCUAAUGUCAUUUGUACUAAAUCAUUCACUGGUACUCACUAAAGGAGAGCUUGAACCUAUGUACUUGUGUAAACCCUUCACAAUUAAUGAGAACUCUUCUAUUCCGUGGACGUAGCCAAUCUGGGUGAACCACGUACAUCUUGUGUUUGCUUUCCUAUCUCUAUCCAUUUAUAUACUUAUCCACACUAAUGACCGGAGCAAUCUAGCGAAGAUCACAAAAAGCGACCGUUUUCGCUACCUAGGAUCUAUCUUGCAAGAGAACGGAGAAUUAGAUGGAGAUCUCAUCCAUAGAAUACGAGCUGGAUGGAUGAAGUGUAAGAGUGCAUCCAGCGUGUUGUGUGACCGUCGUAGGCCACUGAAGCUCAAGGGAAAAUUUUAUAGGACGGCAAUAAGGCUAGCGAUGUUGUAUGGCACACAGAAUGUUGGGCGGUGAAACAUCAACACGUACACAAAAAUGGGUGUAGCGGAGAUGAGGAUGCUUCCUGGGAUGUGUGGGCACACGAGAAAGGAUAAGAUUGAGAAUGAGGAUAUCCGAGGUAAAGUAGGAGUAGCCGAAAUUGAAGGAAAGAUGAGAGAAAAUCGGUUCCGGUGAUUUUGGACAUGUGCAAAGAAGGCCGACUGACGCUCCAGUUCGAAGAUGUGACUACGGGACAAAGGUUCAGGGCCGAAGGGGUAGAGGAAGACCUAGGAAAACUUUGGAAGAGACUCUAAGAAAAGGCUUAGAGUACUUGGAUCUAACGGAGGACAUGACACAAAACCGAGCGCAAUGGCGUUCUAGGAUUCAUAUAGCCGACCCCACUUAGUGGGAAAAGGCUUUGUUGUUGUUGUUGUGUAUUGCUCUUAAAACCCUAAAAUCCACAUCUACUGACGAUAAAAUUACAAAUAAUUAAAAAGAUAUGGCCAAAUUACGUACCUUUUAGCAGCAUAGGUGAUGAAGGCAUCGUCACCCAAGUAGGGACUUGAAACUAAGGUCGUGACGUUUCCUUGAUCGAGACUCAAUAAAAGCCUUCGAAACACCACUCAGAACUGAUGGAGAAUCGUAAACUGGCUCUACUUCCAUGACUGAAAAAUCAAGCGUAGCCCAAAGCACAGAAUGAUUACAUAUAAGCGAACGCAGCGCAGUAGAAAUGGCAGCACAACGAACAAGAACAAGUGCUUUCGUUAAUUCGGAGCUGCUGCUGGAUAAAAUCUUGAACCAUAUGUCCGGUGGCAGGUCUUCCCAUCUUCUCACGCUCAUUUGGGAGUCAUCAUCCACUUUUUUUCGUUUUUCUGGUGGAAAGUCAGCGCCGACUUCCAUAGCAGUUUUUUUUUCCAAACAACUAGCCUUAUAUUUUGUUGCGUUUUCUUUGAGCAGAUAUAUUUUGUUGGCUUUAAGAUGUCUUAUAUAGAGAGACAAAGGAAAACCCUAGGUUUCUUCUUUUGGUGCGUGAACUACGGAGGGCCGAAGCCCAACAACUAGAAGACUCCAUGCCUUGCCCCCACAAAUGUUAUCAAACCAUGUGAUAUUUUUCUUUUAAAAGGGACCCAGUCCACCAUUCUGCUAGUCAAGAAGAGCAUUUCAACUUGCCAUCAUCGUGUGAUUCACGUCAGAAAUCAAACUCAGGAUGUGCCGAGUGAAAUACUAGUUAGAAUUCGUCCCCAAACCACUAAGGCACCCCAUGGUGGUUUAUCAAACCAUGUGAUCUUAUAAGCAAGAAUGUGAUCUUAUUUUUGCUAGUAACUCCCUUUUUGUAAGAAAUGUGUUCUUCAGUGAAAUGUACUAAGUAUGAACUAUUGGCAUGAGUCAACUAUAUAAUUUAGGAAUGUAAUCCUCUAAUUGAUUCCUUGUAUAAUUGGGAUACUUAUUUUUUUAUUAUGUGGGAUAUUGUACAACUAUAUAUUUACAUCCUAGAGAGAAGAAUAAUAUACACAAUUCAAACCCUAUACACUUUUAUCUUUAUCUUGGCAUCAGAACAGAUUCCGACGGUCUCUUCCCAAUACCAACCCUAAAAUCACUCAACACCGUGCAAUCCACAACCAAGGUUACAUUAAGAACAAACCCUGGUGUUUGAAAAAAUCUCGAAUCCACAAACCUAACCCUUGUGGCUUUGGAAACAACAAAGCUACAAACAAAAUCAACCAACACAAAUCAGUCCAUGCAAUGGCUGAAGAAAAGAAAAGCGGUGAGAUAAUUCCCAUACAAACCAAGUCUAUACAAAGUAGGUCUACAAACACGAUUUCAAUGGCUGCUGUUGUUGAAGACUUGCGUGCAAUGGCUUCUGUUGCAGCAGGCCAAACAAGGCCCAUGACAGUUGUCCCAAUGCACGGUCCAGAGGGAAAAGAGGCUGCUGCACCGAGAGAAGAUACGGGUCCAAUGCAAUCUUUAAUCAAAUAGAUUUCAAUAAAUUAUGGUUAUGACGACGAUUCAAGUAAAAUUGGCAUUGCAUGCAAAACAUCCACUAAAUGAGAUUCCGGUGGGAUAAUUGACUCCGGAGCUACGGAUCAUAUGACAUAUAAUGAAUCUCUGUUUCACCACUUAACCGUGCCACCCAAGGAGAAUGUUAUCACAACACACGGUGAAAUUGCUCUAGUUAUAGGAGCGGGUUCCAUCACACUUACUCCCUUUAUAGCUCUGCAUAACGCUCUUCUUGUUUCUUCAUUGUCGAAUCAUUUACUUUAUAUUGGUCAAGUUACGGAACAAUUAGAUUGUGUUGUACUCAUAUUUCCCACUUUUUGCCUACUACAGGAUAUCCAGACAUGGAUGAUCAAUUGGCGUGGUACUAAGAGGAGACGGUUAUAUUAUGUGGAUGAUGUGGUACUGGGCCGACUCAACCUCACUGGUCAUAAUAACAAGAUCAAUCAAAUUUGGUUAUGGCAUCGUCGAUUAGGACAUGCAUCCUUCGGUUAUUUAAGAAAAUUACUUCUGCCUUUAUUUAAUAGCGUUUCAGACUCUGAUUUUCAAUGCAAAUAUUGCAUUCUUGCAAAAAGUCAUUAUACUUCUUACCAUUUGAAUUUUAAUAAAAGAUCAGUGUCUUUUGAGUUAAUUCACUCCAAUGUAUGGAGUCCUUCACCAAUAGCGACGCACCACGGUAAUCGGUGGUUUUGUAUUUUUUGUAAAUGAUUGCACCAGAAUGACUUGGCUUUAUACCAUGAGACAAAAGAGUGACGUUGGACAAAAUUUCCAACAAUUUUAUCAUAUAUGAUGGGAAAUCAGUUUUCUAUUUCUAUCAAAGUCCUUAGAUUCGAUAAUGGUAGAGAAUAUCUUAAUUCUGAACUAUCACAAUUUUUAGCGGAGCANNNNNNNNNNNNNNNNNNNNNNNNNNNNNNNNNNNNNNNNNNNNNNNNNNNNNNNNNNNNNNNNNNNNNNNNNNNNNNNNNNNNNNNNNNNNNNNNNNNNNNNNNNNNNNNNNNNNNNNNNNNNNNNNNNNNNNNNNNNNNNNNNNNNNNNNNNNNNNNNNNNNNNNNNNNNNNNNNNNNNNNNNNNNNNNNNNNNNNNNNNNNNNNNNNNNNNNNNNNNNNNNNNNNNNNNNNNNNNNNNNNNNNNNNNNNNNNNNNNNNNNNNNNNNNNNNNNNNNNNNNNNNNNNNNNNNNNNNNNNNNNNNNNNNNNNNNNNNNNNNNNNNNNNNNNNNNNNNNNNNNNNNNNNNNNNNNNNNNNNNNNNNNNNNNNNNNNNNNNNNNNNNNNNNNNNNNNNNNNNNNNNNNNNNNNNNNNNNNNNNNNNNNNNNNNNNNNNNNNNNNNNNNNNNNNNNNNNNNNNNNNNNNNNNNNNNNNNNNNNNNNNNNNNNNNNNNNNNNNNUAAGGGAAUGCUAGCUCUACAUCAUUCUAUUUCUCGCAUCAAAAAACCCACAUUUUUUCUUCCUCCCAAUUCCGAAGGACCACCGCAACCUCCGACAAAAGAUUCAAAUUCGAAUUCACAAAACCAAAUCAAUUCAACAGAAUAAAAGAGUGGGUUUAGGGUUUCAGAUCAGUAGUCAACAAAAUGAGAGAGAGAGAGAGAGAGAGAGAGCUUAGGGCUUUAGGAUCAGAAUUCAUAGAGGAGGAGGGAGAGAGAGCGAUCGAUCAGGCGCUGUUUGCAGAGAGCAUGAGAGAGAGAAUGAACCAUUGGGAGGGAAGACAGAUAGAUAGCCGCUAUAAGGCGGUUCAACGGUCGAUUCAAGAGCUUAUAGAUUUCAAAUUUCAAAUUUCAGAGUCAAACCUGGUCAACUCCCUCUCCACUCUAUUUUUCUUCUGCGUAAAACCCUAAAAUCAAUUUUACCCUCUUCAUGUUAUUUCAGUGUAAUUCACAAUUUCACAUAAAUCAAAUCCAAAAUUAUUUUGUCAUCAAACAAUAACAAAAGAUAACGCAACUUGAAUUAUUUUAGAGAUAAUUCUUAGAUGCAAAUUUAUAAACUAAACAAUUUCGAUUAUUAAUCCUAAGUGGUGCACUUUCACUCAUAAUUUUUAGUUGUGACAAGAUGUCAAACCAACUCCAAAACACCCCCCUACUCAUUUUCUUUCUAGCCAUGGUUGUUUCUUAUAGGCAAUUCUAGCCCUAAGCAUAGCCAGCUUUAGCCGAUGUAAUCUACGUUUCUUUAUUUAUUUAUUAUUUUUACAAGAUAUGCACUUGACAGGAGGCGAGUGGUUAGACAAAAAAGAUGUGCUUGGUGCCCGCCUCAAUUGUUAGUUGCGCACGGAACGGCUACUUCAACAGCUCUAUGAGGCGUGGCACAAUCAUGUCCUUCCAAUUCCAACGGUCAUGAAUUUUUUUUUUUUAAAAUAGAAAGUUGUUAAAAUUUUGGGAGAAAAACAAAUUCUUUUUUAAAUAAAAAAAAAAUAUCGAAAGACGAAAAAGGGAAAAUGAGUUACCAACAAGUUUUCAUGUUUGCAUUUUCUUAACAAUGAAAACAAAAAAUUAAAAACAAAAAACAUUAUCAAAUGUUCUCGUAAGUAUUCACCUUGUCAAGUUUCAUUGGGGCAUACUAUAAACCUUGCCCUUCAAGCUAUCGCUUAAGACAUUAACAAAUAAGUAUGUUCCAAUCAAAGAACGUCUGCUAUUUGUGUCUAUGUGACGAGGAAGACAAAAGUGUGAUCUAAAAAACAAGUAACUUGUAAAACAAUCAACAAUAUUCGGGUUAGCCCGAGACUAUCCGAGUCUAUCCCGAACCUUUUAAAACGACUAAAUUUCCGUCUCCGGUGUAAAAAUGAGCCACCAGCCCCGGAAAAAUCAGGGCUUCAGAAGAAUCAUAUUACUUAUGUAAGACUAUCCAUCCAGCAUCAUGGACUGGCUAUAAUUACUUGGAAGCAUCCUUCUCCGAAUGCUUCUCAUCGGCAACGUCACUAGGAAGAUCAGGCCCGCCGAGGUAUCUUCCCAGGAUAAUUAGUUGUUGAAGAAUCAGACCCCAUCAAACUUCACGCGGAAGACAAUUUAUUAAAAGUUCCGCAUAAGCUAGAUGUGUGUGCGCGCUGUUAAAAUUAACGAACAAGAAGCUCACCUCCUAUCGACAAUUACCACUGAACGAAGCUCACAAUUAGCAAAGCUGCAUAAACAGAAUUCCACUCUUAAGCUUAGCAUCCAUCCAAAAAUCAAAAAGAGAAAAAAAAAAAAAAGGGACUCGUUCUCCUUAGUUUAGAGAAUAAAUAUAUGACACUGGUAGAACGAUUUUUGUACACAUACGAUUAUAAACAUUAUCCUGUGUUGUGGAAUGUAAUGUGCAUGCUCUUGAAUUAAAAGUUGGGAUAAAACAACCACCAUAACACUUACUGAGUGCAUAUUUCGCUCUUGAUAGACGGAUGGCAAUCAUUUCCAAAAGCACUCAAGGUAUGAAACAAGAAUCCACUGUGCGAAACAAUUGCAAUGUCUUUCUCUUUACGAGUCCACAACCUGGACCAAUUGAGAGCGGCAAAAGAAACAACUAACAGUUUUAACACCUUUCCACAUUGCCAAUACAAGAACAAUUGUCAAAAUAGCUGAAACCUAUAAAGUAAAUCAUUAACAAGUAACUUCACGAAAUAGUACGAACUAUUAGAUUUAUCGUAAACUAACAAUUACAUUAGUACUACAAUCUAUUCCAGAAAGUGGUCAGCUACGACAAUGAAACAAAUGUAAGCUAAAUGUUCAGAUGCUAUGCAAGAUUCUACCCGGUAGAAUAAAGAUAAAAGCCUAAGCAAGAUUGCUAUGCAUGACAGAAACAGAAGGAUGCUAACAAAAUUUGUUGCAAUGGUAGUUGGGUCAACACCUAUGCAAUGAACUCAUGCAACACAUCCAGCAACUAUAAACAGAUUUCUGGAAUAAAUUAAAUCCUGAGUUGCUUGAGGUGAGAAAACAGCACGAUAGCCGAUAGGUGUAUCAUAACACUUAUAAUUGAACUAUGGAGAAAACUUGGAUUACAAGUCAGCAAAAGCUAAAACCUCCUUAAGACCAUGAAUUGGCAUAGCAUACCCACAACACAAUUUUCCUACAGGCACCGAUAAAAGAAUUCAUGUUGUGCACGACAUCCUAGUUAAAUUUAGAUAUCAUUCUCCUGUCCUCUGCACCAUAGAUUUCUUUUCACUUUUACUUUUCCUCAAUGAUUCUUUUCGUGGUGAUGAAUAAUAAAGAAACCCGUUACCAAAAAUGCAAUGUAACUUAAGAGUAAUUAAGAGAUCACCAGUUCAAAAACUUCAGUCCCCUAGCUGCCACUUCUUCAUUUAACUCUCUAACGUCAGGCGUCCACAAGAUGUCAUCCUCAUUCUCUAUCUAAACAAAAGGUGAACCAGAAUACAUUCCAAUCAAUCAAAGUUCAUGGUUAGACAAGCAACCAAAACCAAAGUGACAUGUCAAAUGACGGCAUAGCUUUUCUCAAUGUAAUUGCAAUAAGUCACUUGCCAGUGAAAAAUCAAUUGCAGGAAAAAGAGGCCGAUACUCGCUAAUGCUUCUCCUUUGGUCACAUGGAUGAACACCCUGCAGGAGAAGAGAAAACACACAUUUAAGCAUGAUGUUCAAUUAGAACCAGUGAUUGUGUGAAGGGUGAAGAAGGAAAUCAAAUAAACCCACUUUAAUUAAUUUAUGUGAAAAAUUAAUGAAUAAAAUAUGUUCAAAAAAUAAAUAUCUCAUAAGUUUGUAAUUCUGUACGAGCAAAAGGGGGCCUGCUCAAAGGCUCUGUAUUAUAGUAGUAUGAAUCGGGUAUCAAAUUUAUAUUCAAAUCUAACUGCCUAACAGGGUAAUAGGUCAGAAUAAAAUAAAAUUCUUUUAGAUAAUACUGAGUGUGUUGUAAAGUUAACCAUUUGCAAAGCAAAAAUAACUACUGAAAUCAGGAUUCUCAAAUCCUUUUCCCAAGGUUUUAUUUUAUUGUUUGCAUGAGUGGAGUCAAAAUUACCCAAACCACUCCAUCUCUCUGUGUUUUGGUACCUUCUAUACAAACACUUACAUAGCUGUUACAGAGUUUUAAUUUUUAACAUGACAUACCAAAUGUUCCCGGCAAAGCUCCACUGCUAUAAAUGGUGGGGAGUUUAGACUUGAAAUUGCAGGAUGGUCACUGUUUCCAGCAUUUGCAACCAUUAGAGGAGGUACAUCUAUCCCGUCUGUGUAUGCUUCACCCCCAAAAACACCCACUGCUGUCUGCAUGGAUCCUACAAGGCAACAAUUGGUCAAAUUAGAGUCCUUUUUCUUUUUUUUCAACUUCCACCUAUUGAAACAUUCACACUCUUAUUUGUUUGGUGUAUAUACUGCAUUCUCUGAAAAAAAAAACAAAUGCGCCUUAACAGCAGCUUAAUGUUUCAAGGGACAUGGGCUUUACAGAUCACUCAAUAAUUAGUCAAGUUGCAAAACUGAAAUAAUAAUUCCAAAAGCAAGAACAAAUGUUCACUCUAUUACAUGAAAACACAAAAGUUAAAUUUCUCUAGAGAGGGACAAAUUAGCAUAGCCGUUAUAAGUUUUUAAAAGAGAUAUAUCUAAAAAAAAGGACCAUAUGCUUAGCAGCCUCAAGUUUCUGAAUCAUUUCAACAGCACCUCAUCAUCUUAAUGUCUAUUGAAUCCAACUCACUUCAACAAAUGUAAAUUCUUAUCUUAUUCCACUGAAGCUAGAGUACCUGCAGCUGUUUCAUUUUAUUUUCUUUACAAAAAAAACUAGAAAGAAUUGUAUAAAUAUACAGUGCAAGGUCAAAAGCUCUUUUUGACACAUGAAAGGAAGCCCGGCCAACCUAAUUGAAAGGUAGUAUCAUUCCUCACUCAGAGAUGGAAGCAAAGAUGACAUUAAGGAUGAAAUAGUAAAGGAAUAAAGGCUUGCAGCACGUCCCCUCCUAAUUAAACUAGUCCAUAAUUCACCUAUUUCUCAUAAAUUCUGGGGAAUUGGGUUCAAGGACCCUAUUGCAAAGCCAGCAAUUCAAAAUUAGUGCUCCUCAUGAAUUCAAUCUGUACUAGCCCUCUACAUCCCUUUUAUCAAGUAUCCAUAUGUUGUCCAAAUGUUGUUGAUAUUCAUUGAUAUGUUGCCAUGUUAUUGAUAUUCGUUAAUAUGUUGCUCAUAUUUUGUCAAUGUGGAUAACCCAAGUGAAAGGUAUUAAUUUCGCCAAAGAGGGCUAUUAUUGAAUAAUUUUUGAAAGCUAUUCUAAUUGUAGUUGAUAUAAUGCUAUUGUUAUUUUCCAAGUCUCCAACCGAGAAGUUUUCCUCACUCGAAAAAUUAAGGGAACACUACCCCAACCUACAUGCUCCACUCAGAAAGCUUCAACAUACAAGCUUCAACAAAAGAAAAUUCAAAGAACUUAGCGAAUAAGGCUUUGGUGUAUUUAACACAAUACGUUGAAAUGAAGGAAAGCUUAUUUAUUGAUAUCCCCGAUAAGCUACAAAUAUGUACAUAUACAUGAGUCAAAAUAAACAAACAAGAUGGAGCCUUCACAAAGGUUGCUUAGGAGAAGUCUCAGCAGUCGGUAGAGCCCCAGAAAGAGAAGGCAUCGGAGGGGGAUCAUUCGGAGCCUCAGUACUGGACAGAACCCUAGAAGGAGGAGGCAUCAGAGGUUGAUCAUUUGGAGCUUCAUUACGCGGUACAGCCCUAGAAGACGAAGGCAAUAAAUGCCUCUGGAACAAACCCACAAAUCUCUGAUGAUCAAGUAAAACAUGACCAUCAGUUUCCUUCAUCUGGUCAAGCUUCCUCUUCAUGUUUGUAGCAUAGUCAUGUGCGAGCCGGUGCAACUGUUUAUUCUCAUGCUUGAGCCCUCUAAUCUCCUGUUUGAGACUCAUCACUUCGGCCGCCAAUGAUUCAACUUGGCGGGUUCGAGCAAAUAGGCGUUGGGCCAUAUUAGACACAGAACCUGCACACUGAACACUGAGAGCCAGCGAAUCCUUAACAGCUAACUCAUCAGACCGUUUGGAAAGUAGUCUGUUAUUUUUGGGAGUGAGAAGGUUCCUGGCCACCACCGCAGCGGUCAUAUCAUUCUUCAUCACGGAAUCCCCAACGGUAAGAGGACCAGUAGGGGAAACGAAGGAUGGGCGCCAUAUGUUGUCUGGAGAAGGCGGGGCUGCCUCUUCAAAAAAGUUCAAGUCAAAACGACGGUCGGAGGGGCCAGACAUUUUCAAAGGUGUUGAAGAGAGAAGAGGUCGGACAAAUCAAGAUCUUAGAAAUGCAAGAAUGGAGCUUCUACUGGUGGAGAUUCAAGUGUGCUUUGGAACUUAAUGCCAGCCCCUAUAAAAAGCUGCACUCGACGGAGCUUCGGACAUCGAAGAGGCGUCUGCUCAGAAAUCGAAGAGGCGUUUGCUUUCUCAAAAGCUGGGUUGCUUAGAGACCACGAGGGUUGAUCUCAUAAAUCGAAGAGGUGUUUGCUUUCUCAAAAGUUGGGCUGCUCAAAGACCACGAAAGCCGAUCUCAGAAAUCGAAGAGGCGCUCGCUUUCUCAAAAGCUGGGCUCCUCAGAGACCACGAGGGCCGAUCUCAGAAAUCGAAGAGGCACCUACUUUUCCAGCCUUGUCAGCACCUGUCACACGCACACUCAGCUUUGCGGAAAUUAUGGGUAUUCUGUCGAAGAUUUAUGGGGAAGUAGAAAACACAUGAAUCUUACUGUCCAAUCACCCACUUCCCAUACGCAACAAUAGCUCAUGGGUACCACAUAUAACUUUGCCAAAAUUCUCUGCCAAAGUUGAGCACGUGAAGCUUGCAGCUCCCACUACAUCGCUCUGACCAAGAAGGGUAAAAGAAUAGCAAAGAAACAGCACUAACAAAGUUUAGACCCAUAAAUUUUGAAGGUCUAGCUACCAUAUUAUUACCCACAAGGGUAAAGGAACAGUACCACUGCUGGAUAAUUGGAAAGUCCCUGUGUGUCAACCUCUGUGCCUCGUGGCAAGGUAGACUAGCAAACAUGCCCAACCUUUACUCACAUUCGAGAAAACACUCCCAAUAAGAUUGCUUGCUCCAAAAUCGAAGAGGCACCGUCCUCCGAAUCUCGAGAGCCAGACUCCCAACAUGACUACUUUCUCAAAAAAUCGAAGAGAGGGUAAAGGAACAGUACCACUGCUGGAUAAUUGGAAAGUCCCUGUGUGUCAACCUCUGUGCUUCGUGGCAAGGUAGACUAGCAAACAUGCCCAACCUUUACUCACAUUCGAGAAAACACUCCCACCAAGAUUGCUUGCUCCAAAAUCGAAGAGGCACCGCCCUCCGAAUCUCGAGAGCCAGACUUCCAACAUGAUUACUUUCUCAAAAAUCGAAAAGACACUGCUCCCCGAAUCUCGAGAGCCAGACCCCCAGCAUGAUUGCUUUCUCAAAAAUCGAAGAGGCAUCGUUCUCCGAAUCAAUCGAAGAGGCGCUCGCUUUCUCAAAAGCUGGGCUGCUCAGAGACCACGAUGGCCGAUCUCAGAAAUCGAAGAGGCACCUACUUUUCUAGCCUUGUCAGCACCUGUCACACGCACACUCAGCUUUGCGAAAAUUAUGGGCAUUUUGUCGAAGACUUCUGGUGAAGUAGAAAGCACAUGAAUCUUACUGUUCAACCACCCACUUCCCACACGCAACAAUAUCUCAUGGGUACCACAUAUAACUUUGCCAAAGUCUCUGCCAAAGUUGAGCACGUGAAGCUUGCAGCUCUCACUACAUCGCUCUGACCAAGAAAGGUAAAAGAAUAGCAAAGAAACAGCACUAACAAAGUUUAGACACAUAAAUUUUUGAAGGUCUAGCUACCAUAUUAUUACCCACAAGGGUAAAGGAACAGUACCACUGCUGGAUAAUUGGAAAGUCCCUUUGUGUCAACCUUCGUGCUUCGUGGCAAGGUAGACUAGCAAACAUGCCCAACCUUUACUCACAUCCGAGAAAACACUCCCAACAAGAUUGCUUACUCCAAAAAUCGAAGAGGCACCGCCCUCCGAAUCUCGAGAGCCAGACUCCCAACAUUAUUACUUUCUCAAAAAUCGAAGAGACACUGCUCUCCGAAUCUCGAGAGCCAGACCCCCAGCAUGAUUGCUUUCUCAAAAAUCGAAGAAGCAUCGUUCUCCGAAUCUCGAGAGCCAGAUACCACAUACCACUUUUUCAAAGUGCUCUGACAGAGUUAAAACAUGUGAAGCUGGCAGCUCCCACUACCGUGCUAUGACCAAGCAGGGUAAAGGAAUAACAUUACUACUUGUUGUUAGGGAGACUCCUAUAUAUGUCGACCUCCAUCCCCAACGGACAGGCAGACCUGCAAAAAUGCUCAACCCUUCCUCAUAUCUGAGAGGGCACUCCCAACGAAACCUUUCGAAAUAUUCAGCUUUCUUUCCCCCCGAUAAUACCUCUGCAAACAAGCUAUACUAGAGCAAGAAUAUCUCAUAUCAUCAGGGUUAAAAGCAAGAGUAUCCCAUAUCAUGCUUUUUCCCUGUCUUUUCCUUUGACCUUGUUUUUACCUGCAAGACAAGGAGAAAGAGAGCAAUCAGUCAGCACUUGAAAUCAAGCUCCCAGCCAGGAACUGACUGCCUGGAACCCCUUACCUGAUUACUUACCUGGCAUUGCUCUCGAGUACUCAUCUUCAACAUCUUAUGUUUCCAGGGAAGAUACCGCAUCUGCUUGAGGAACAGAUAGGGCAAGUGCGAAGGAUACAAGGAAGCAUGUGGAGACAAGCGUAACAGCACACGUGCCGAUACAUCCAUUACGCUGUCAAAAGCAAAAGUAUCCCAUAUCAGCAGGGUCGAACGUACUCUAGAUUUGAUGGACUUGUUUUGACCCUCAAAUUCUUCAGUCGGCCUUAUACUUUGGAGGAAACCAGAAAACCCUCCAGCUCAGUUCAAGAAUAAGCCUGUGGAAAGUUACUUCUUCAAAAGCAAAAGUAUCCCAUAUCAUCUCUUCUCAUUUUUCUUCUCUUUAUCCUUCAUGCUGCUGCAAGAUGGGGAGAAGGUGAACAAUCAGCUGGAGCUCUGAUUGCUUACCUUGUUUGUCACCUCUUUCAGCAGAUCCCCUAGCUCGGCGACUUGGGGGACUCCUACUACAUGGUUUGUAUCGCGCUGGACCAAGCCUGAAACUACAAGUAAGCUUCAAGUGAAAUUGAUACAUUACCUUGUGCAUCUCCACCAGUUAAAGAUACCACCCCUGGAUGGAGGAAGAGUACUUCCAGAGAAGCUGCCACAUCUACCUAUGAGACAGAUAAGGCAAGUCAAAAUGAUACUACACUCCGAUACUUAGAAGUUUCGUGAUUACGAGAUCAUUCUCCCACAAUAUUUCCUAAUGUCAUUUGUACUCUAAUGUCAUUUGUACUAAAUCAUUCACUGGUACUCACUCACUAAAGGAGAGCUUGAACCUAUGUACUUGUGUGUAAACCCUUAACAAUUAAUGAGAACUCUUCUAUUUUCCGUGGACGUAGCCAAUCUGGGUGAACCACGUACAUCUUGUGUUUGCUUUCCUAUCUCUAUCCAUUUAUAUACUUAUCCACACUAAUGACCGGAGAGCAAUCUAGCGAAGAUCACAAAAGCGACCGUUUUCGCUACCUAGGAUCUAUCUUGCAAGAGAACGGAGAAUUAGAUGGAGAUCUCAUCCAUAGAAUACGAGCUGGAUGGAUGAAGUGUAAGAGUGCAUCCAGCGUGUUGUGUGACCGUCGUAGGCCACUGAAGCUCAAGGGAAAAUUUUAUAGGACGGCAAUAAGGCUAGCGAUGUUGUAUGGCACAGAAUGUUGGGCGGUGAAACAUCAACACGUACACAAAAUGGGUGUAGCGGAGAUGAGGAUGCUUCCUGGGAUGUGUGGGCACACGAGAAAGGAUAAGAUUGAGAAUGAGGAUAUCCGAGGUAAAGUAGGAGUAGCCGAAAUUGAAGGAAAGAUGAGAGAAAAUCGGUUCCGGUGAUUUGGACAUGUGCAAAGAAGGCCGACUGACGCUCCAGUUCGAAGAUGUGACUACGGGACAAAGGUUCAGGGCCGAAGGGGUAGAGGAAGACCUAGGAAAACUUUGGAAGAGACUCUAAGAAAAGGCUUAGAGUACUUGGAUCUAACGGAGGACAUGACACAAAACCGAGCGCAAUGGCGUUCUAGGAUUCAUAUAGCCGACCCCACUUAGUGGGAAAAGGCUUUGUUGUUGUUGUUGUUGUAUUGCUCUUAAAACCCUAAAAUCCACAUCUACUGACGAUAAAAUUACAAAUAAUUAAAAAGAUAUGGCCAAAUUACGUACCUUUUAGCAGCAUAGGUGAUGAAGGCAUCGUCACCCAAGUAGGGACUUGAAACUAAGGUCGUGACGUUUCCUUGAUCGAGACUCAAUAAAGCCUUCGAAACACCACUCAGAACUGAUGGAGAAUCGUAAACUGGCUCUACUUCCAUGACUGAAAAAUCAAGCGUAGCCCAAAGCACAGAAUGAUUACAUAUAAGCGAACGCAGCGCAGUAGAAAUGGCAGCACAACGAACAAGAACAAGUGCUUUCGUUAAUUCGGAGCUGCUGCUGGAUAAAAUCUUGAACCAUAUGUCCGGUGGCAGGUCUUCCCAUCUUCUCACGCUCAUUUGGGAGUCAUCAUCCACUUUUUUUCGUUUUUCUGGUGGAAAGUCAGCGCCGACUUCCAUAGCAGUUUUUUUUUCCAAACAACUAGCCUUAUAUUUUGUUGCGUUUUCUUUGAGCAGAUAUAUUUUGUUGGCUUUAAGAUGUCUUAUAUAGAGAGACAAAGGAAAACCCUAGGUUUCUUCUUUUGGUGCGUGAACUACGGAGGGCCGAAGCCCAACAACUAGAAGACUCCAUGCCUUGCCCCCACAAAUGUUAUCAAACCAUGUGAUAUUUUUCUUUUAAAAGGGACCCAGUCCACCAUUCUGCUAGUCAAGAAGAGCAUUUCAACUUGCCAUCAUCGUGUGAUUCACGUCAGAAAUCAAACUCAGGAUGUGCCGAGUGAAAUACUAGUUAGAAUUCGUCCCCAAACCACUAAGGCACCCCAUGGUGGUUUAUCAAACCAUGUGAUCUUAUAAGCAAGAAUGUGAUCUUAUUUUUGCUAGUAACUCCCUUUUUGUAAGAAAUGUGUUCUUCAGUGAAAUGUACUAAGUAUGAACUAUUGGCAUGAGUCAACUAUAUAAUUUAGGAAUGUAAUCCUCUAAUUGAUUCCUUGUAUAAUUGGGAUACUUAUUUUUUUAUUAUGUGGGAUAUUGUACAACUAUAUAUUUACAUCCUAGAGAGAAGAAUAAUAUACACAAUUCAAACCCUAUACACUUUUAUCUUUAUCUUGGCAUCAGAACAGAUUCCGACGGUCUCUUCCCAAUACCAACCCUAAAAUCACUCAACACCGUGCAAUCCACAACCAAGGUUACAUUAAGAACAAACCCUGGUGUUUGAAAAAAUCUCGAAUCCACAAACCUAACCCUUGUGGCUUUGGAAACAACAAAGCUACAAACAAAAUCAACCAACACAAAUCAGUCCAUGCAAUGGCUGAAGAAAAGAAAAGCGGUGAGAUAAUUCCCAUACAAACCAAGUCUAUACAAAGUAGGUCUACAAACACGAUUUCAAUGGCUGCUGUUGUUGAAGACUUGCGUGCAAUGGCUUCUGUUGCAGCAGGCCAAACAAGGCCCAUGACAGUUGUCCCAAUGCACGGUCCAGAGGGAAAAGAGGCUGCUGCACCGAGAGAAGAUACGGGUCCAAUGCAAUCUUUAAUCAAAUAGAUUUCAAUAAAUUAUGGUUAUGACGACGAUUCAAGUAAAAUUGGCAUUGCAUGCAAAACAUCCACUAAAUGAGAUUCCGGUGGGAUAAUUGACUCCGGAGCUACGGAUCAUAUGACAUAUAAUGAAUCUCUGUUUCACCACUUAACCGUGCCACCCAAGGAGAAUGUUAUCACAACACACGGUGAAAUUGCUCUAGUUAUAGGAGCGGGUUCCAUCACACUUACUCCCUUUAUAGCUCUGCAUAACGCUCUUCUUGUUUCUUCAUUGUCGAAUCAUUUACUUUAUAUUGGUCAAGUUACGGAACAAUUAGAUUGUGUUGUACUCAUAUUUCCCACUUUUUGCCUACUACAGGAUAUCCAGACAUGGAUGAUCAAUUGGCGUGGUACUAAGAGGAGACGGUUAUAUUAUGUGGAUGAUGUGGUACUGGGCCGACUCAACCUCACUGGUCAUAAUAACAAGAUCAAUCAAAUUUGGUUAUGGCAUCGUCGAUUAGGACAUGCAUCCUUCGGUUAUUUAAGAAAAUUACUUCUGCCUUUAUUUAAUAGCGUUUCAGACUCUGAUUUUCAAUGCAAAUAUUGCAUUCUUGCAAAAAGUCAUUAUACUUCUUACCAUUUGAAUUUUAAUAAAAGAUCAGUGUCUUUUGAGUUAAUUCACUCCAAUGUAUGGAGUCCUUCACCAAUAGCGACGCACCACGGUAAUCGGUGGUUUGUUAUUUUUGUAAAUGAUUGCACCAGAAUGACUUGGCUUUAUACCAUGAGACAAAAGAGUGACGUUGGACAAAAUUUCCAACAAUUUUAUCAUAUGAUGGGAAAUCAGUUUUCUAUUUCUAUCAAAGUCCUUAGAUUCGAUAAUGGUAGAGAAUAUCUUAAUUCUGAACUAUCACAAUUUUUAGCGGAGCACGACAUACUUCACGAGACUACUUGUCCUCAAACUCCUCAACAAAAUGUUGUGGUAGAAUGUAAGAACAUACAUAUCUUGAAAAAUGCAUGUGUUCUUCUAAUCGGGACUCAUGUUCCUCAUGCCUAUUGGGUGGAUGCAAUUACAUAUUCCGUUUAUCUCCUUAAUUGAGUGCCUUCUUGAGUUCACAACUUCCAAUAUCCCAUGAAAGUCUUGAGGAAUUAGGUCACUCAACCUUCUUCUCUCCAAUCAUCACCCCACAUAUUUGGAUGUGUGGCUUAUGUGCAUCUUCACAAGAAUCAACGAAGAAAAUUGGAUCUGUUUGUUGUUCGUUGUGUAUUUUUGGGAUUUAAUAGCCAACAAAAGGGAUACCGUUGUUACUAUCCACCUACUAAGCAUUUCUAUGUCGCCAUGGACGUCACGUUUUCCAAAACCAAGAUGUUUUUCAUCACUAAUCAAACCCACUCUACUCUUUAGGGGAGUUAAAUAGUACAGACAAAGACUACAGUUGGUUUGAUAUCCCACAUGAAAGGGACAGUUGGCAAGGUCCCAACAGUGCAGGCGAGACUGAAAUUGAAGACGUAAGUGCUGUGAGCACCCCACUUGACCAUGCCUUAAUAGAAAGCUAUGACACAUCAGUCCAAACCAUACCAAUUCAAAGCCCAACAAUUCAAAUUCAAAGCCGUGACACAUCAUUCCAUUGUGCAACAAUUCAAAGUCCAACAAUUCAAAGCCCAUUAGUAGCCCACGACACAACAAUUCAAAGCCCAAUGGUGGGUCGCGGCAUAACAACUCCAAGGCCAGUAGUGGGCCAUCGCAUAGCAUUCCAAAAACUAGUGGAUCUUGACCAAGAAACCCCUGACUGAGAGAUAGUUCAUGGAGCAAAGAAUAAUGGGCCUACGCCGUUUAUGGAUUCAAUAGAAAGUAAUGGGUCGACGAGUGUUACCGAGACUGCAAACAGAAAAUAACUCUCAUUAUCCUCCAACAGUACAUGUUCAUGUCCCCAUAGAUACCCAAGAGGUACGUUCUCAUACUCUAAAUAUUAUUGAAAAUUCUUAUGGGAAACCACCUGACAGGUUUUCUCCGAAAGGAAAAGUGAGAUAUGCAAUUGCACAGUAUGUGUCCACUCAUCGACUAUCACCCAAGUACGAAGCCAUGGUGAAUCAAAUGGUUGAGAUUAAAAUUCCAAUGAAAGUGGAAGAGGCUUUGAGAGAUUCCCGUUGGGUAGAAGUCACGUAAGUAGAAAUGGAAGCCUUACAAAGAAACUGAGCUUGGUAUGUAGCAUCACUACCACAAGGGAAGAGAUUGAUGGGAUGCAAAUGGGUUUUCACCAUAAAGCACAAAGCGGAUGGAUCCAUUGACAAAUACAAGGCAAGAUUGGUAGCUAAAGGGUACACACAUACAUUUGGCGUUAAUUACCAAGAAACAUUUGCUCCGAUCGUAAAAAUGAAUACUAUUUGAGUCCUUUUGUCUUUAGAUGCUAACCUGGAUUGGCCUUUGAAAUAGUUCGAUGUGAAGAAUGUUUUUUUUUUUACAUGGAGAUCUAGAAGAGGAAGUAUACAUGAACCUUCCACCAGGAUAUGAAACACCGAAUGAAGCUUGAAAAGCAUGUAGACUCCGAAAGACUCUCUACGGACUCAAACAGUCACCUAGGGCAUGGCUUGGAAGAUUCACUGAAGCAAUGAAAAAAUAUGGCCAUAGACAAGGAAAUGUGGACCACAUCAUGUUUAUCAAAUGCAUGGAAGGUAAUGUUACUUUGUUGAUAAUAUAUGUGGAUGAUAUGGUAGUCACUGGUGAUCAUACAAAAGAGAUAAAAAGGCUGUAGGGAUAUCUCUCAUUAGAAUUUGAGAUGAAGGAUUUAGGAGGCUUGAAAUACUUCUUGGACAUUGAAGUUACUUGUUCUCGUGACGGUAUUUACUUGUCUCAGCGGAAGUAUAUUCUUGAUAUUCUCUCUGAAACAAGAAUAUUGGCCUGUAAACCAGUUGAAACUCCUAUUGUGCAGAAUCAUCACCUGCCGAUAUACCAGAAUCAAGUGCUUACCAAUAAAGAAAUAUAUCAUAGAUUGGUAGGACGAUUGAUCUACCUAUUGCUUACACGUCCAGAUAUUGCAUAUGCAGUCAGCAUUGUAAGUUAGUUUAUGCACGCACCCAGUAAGGAUCACAUGGCAGCAGUGAUGCAUAUACUGAGUUAUCUGAAAGGUGCACCGAGUAAAUGAUUAAUCUUCAAGAAGCAUGGAUAUAUGGAGGUGAAGGGGUAGUUGAUGCUGACUGGGCGGGAAACAUUACUAAUCGUCACUCCACAUCAGGCAACUUCACAUUUGUAGCAGGAAAUUUGGUAACAUGAAGAAGUAAGAAGCAAAAUGUAGUAGCUAGAUCCACCGCUGAGGCAUAGUAUAGGGGGAUGGCUCAUGGAAUUUGUGAAUUGUUAUGGCUCAUGAUUCUUCUCAUUGGGAUUGGGUUCAAGACUCAGGGGGCUAUGUUAUUAUACUGUGACAACCAAGCUGCAAGAGAAAUAGCCAAUAAUCCUGUACAAAGCAUGCGGAGGUAGAUAGACACUUCAUCAAAGAGAAGUUAGAUGUCAAAUUGACAAUUAUAUAUUUACCUCAUAGAGAGAAGAAUAAUAUACACAAUUCAAACCCCAAAACACAGAUCACUAGUACUUGCUUAACGGUACUUGAAUAAAGAUUCCUCAUCAACUACUAGAUUCCAAUAAGUUUCAAUUCAAACCCUAAACACUUAUAUCUUUAUCUCGAACUAGCUAGAUUAAUCUAAUUAUUGGGAAGGAAAGGUAUGUUUACAGGGAUUGCGAUUUACAAUAAGACUGAACCCAUUGAAGUUUGAAGUAUUUUCGAACUGGUCUUACAACUGGUAGAACAAGUUCAUCGCAAUGGACACAACAGAGACCUGGUUUUGAGGGUCAUACAUGCUCGUGUAACCUGGAUUUAAUGCAAGUUUUCUUCUUGUGCGUGGAUCAGUUGAUUCAUGUCUCUCUCUUUUAGAAUUUAGAAGUGAUGAUUGAAUCGUUAAGCUAAUGCUAAGGUGUUUACCGAUUGCAUUGUUCAUCAUCCCACGAGUAUUCAAUCAUAUGUGAUCGAAAUUGGGUUGACCUUCCACCCGCCUGAGUGGUAGGGACGCUCAAAACGUCACGCUUAAACGGUUGGAUCCAGCUCCAUGCUUGGAGGAUCGCGAAAUAAAAUACAGUCAAUUUCCACAAAUAUCGGCAACAAAGCAUGUGAAUACUCCAAUAAAUAAAGUAUACAAAAUCAUCCAUUAAAAUAACACUUAAAAUUUUCCUCAUUCAAAACAACAUUGUCCAAUUUCUACUCCAACAAGGUGAAACUAAAACACCAACAAAUCACAAACCCCAAAAACCAAAAACCAAAAGAAAAUUAUAUCCAAGUAAAGCGGAAGGCAAUCUCAAUUUGAUUCACAAAUCAAUGGCUUAACUUACUUAGCUAGAAGAAUAGUCUAAUUUUGAUUUGGAUAAUCCUCACUGUGUAGCGAAUUUCGAUAAUCCCAUCAAUGCUAGCUCAAGUUUAAGGAUCAUAUGCGUUCACAGCGAACUAAAACGUCCCACAUUGUGCCGAUGGCGAGAACUGAGGGCAAAACAAACUGGGACCCGAAAGCAGGUGUUAGGUCACUGCUCUUGCUCUUCACUGGGGCGGCUUCGGGGGGUGGAGGCAUGUUUUCAACUUUAACGGCGAGCUUCAUGCCACCAUAGCAGUACCCCUUGCUCGUAAUGAAGUAGUAGUCCCUUGUCACAUUCAGCGGAACCACAUCUCUUCCGGCUCCGGUGGUCCAGUUGUGAAGGGGAUGUUCAGCAUUGCACGAGACAUAGUUUGUCUGGUUCACCUCUAUAACAUCCAUUUGGUUCCUAUCAUAAACAAAAACUAGAGGAAAAAGAAAAAUGGAAUUACCAACUAGCUCAAAAUAUAUAAUUUUCUACUUAUUUUAAGUUUUCGUGUAGUAUAGCGCGAAUUUUUACUAAGGAAUUGAUUUCCGGACACUCUUGUUCAUUUUCGGAUUUCCCUUGAGUUGACUAACCAAAAGAUACAUUAAAAUAUGAAUGUAAAUUGUUGUAUAACAAUCAUAUAAUAAGACAGGAACUGUGACACUGACAGUGGCCCUCUUCACAGAAAAAGCCAAAAAGCCAAGAGGAAAACAACUAGAAAAAGUUGCAGAUCUGAAUCAGCCAGGAUGAUAGAUACAAAAUGCUAGAACAUAACAGACUGCCUGUAUGCUGUGGACUUUGAAGAUAAUUACCAAAAUUUAAAUGCUUCUUACGAAAAUUUAAAUGCUUCUUUUUCCUUUUCCUGCAUAUUUUUUUCCGUAGGCAAAUCUGAGUUUUAACAUUUCAAUACUUAAAUAAUUAACUAAGAUUUAGCAUAAGCUUUACACAGCAAGAAACAAAAUUCAGAAAAACUCCUUAAUUGGUAAUCUGAUUAUAUUUAAACUGUUUAUAACAAAUUUAAGCAAUUACAGUAACCACACAUGCAUUCUCAUAACUUGAAUAACCACAGUUGUAAUCUUUUCUUCUUUUUUUCCUGCAUUUUUUCAGAGGGGAAAACUGAAUUUAACUUGAAGUUUACACAUCAAGAAACAAACUUUUAAAAAUAAGUCCUUUUAUCAUCUAAAACAAUCAGAAGCAUCAUCAACCAAGCAAUAGAAAAUUUGAGCUGUGAAUUAACAAACAGAGAACAAAAAAGCAUUGACGGACAAAACAACAACUUAAUGGAUCUGAGAGAAGGGAAGGAAAGAUGAGCUUACAGAGCCAGUCUCCAUUGUAAAAGUGCUGAUCCUUAGCCCAAAUAGUAUAGUUGACAUUGCUGGUCCAACCCAUUUUCCCUCCCACCAUAUAUCUCGUAGCUGAUGCUUCUGGAAGUUCCAUCACCACCACCAAGCACAAAAGCACCACCACCGCCGUAGCUCUCUCUUUCUCCAUUGCUCUCGCUCACUCUAUCAGUCUUUCACAUGCAGUAGCAGUUGUUCUGGAAAGCUCUGUCUAAAAAAGCACUUUGCUUUUGAGCUUUUUGGGCUCUUAAUUUUUGUUGGGCGGUUUGAUUUACACGAGGUUUCAGUUUCAGGAUCCACAUGUACCGUGGGCUACUUAUCCAGAUAAUUCGGGUCCUAUAAACAAUAUUAUAUUUCUCAUAUUUCAACUUUUAUGUUAAAAAAUGUUAAAGCUGUGCCUGUUCACAAUGGAAAAAGAUCUCAUCGCCAGAUCAUUUUCCUAGGGAUCCAACAAUCGUAUUUGUUCAUUGUACAUCGUACGGUUAGUUUUCAUUAGAUACUAUUUAUAUUUGAAUUUUAAAUUUUAAAUUUUAAAUGAUUUCUGAUCGCACGAUGUACGAUAAACGGAUACAAUUAUGGAAUUCCUAUGAUCCCUAGAAAAAGAAUCUGGCGAGGAUCCUUUUGCGUUCAUAAUUGCAAGAACCUAAUUGUUAUACAUUAAUUAAGAUUGAGUGUUUAGUGAUUAAAAAUAAUUAAAUUGAGAUCAAGUGUUGGUUGAUUACAAUAACCUAAUUGUUAUACAUUAAUUAAGAUUGAGUGUUUAGUGAUUAAAAAUAAGGGGUUUUUGAACAUUAGUCCUUGCAAAAGAUUAAAAUUAAAAAAAAACUGAUGCUAGAUUAAAUAUUCAAUUUAAUCCCUUGAGUGUACUUUUAUCAAAAUUUACACUCAAUUUUUCUUAUUUAAUGUGUAUUUUUAUUUAAUCUCUCCAUAUUAAAUUUUAAUUUUAUUAAUAUGUACAUAUUUAAUUUUUUAAUUAGAAAUGAACGUAAAUGAGAAAAUAUUAAAAAAAAUUGUGAUACAAAAAUAUAUAGAUACAUAAGUGUAUAUAAAUGAUUGUACCAAAUUAUAUAAAAUUGACUUUUUUGUACCAAAAUAUUUGUACCUACAUGAUUGUACCGAAAUAUAUUAUAAUGAACCUAAAUGUAUGUAUUGAAAUGUAUUAUAUUGAAUUAAUGUACCUAAAUGUCAAUACCGAAAUGUAUGUACCAAAAUGUACGAACCUAAAUGUCAAUACCGAAAUGUAUGUACCAAAAUGUACGAACCUAAAUGUCAAUACCGAAAAUGUAUAUAUGUACCUAAAUAUUAAUACCAAAAUGUAUGUACCUAAAUGUAUUUACCGAAAUAAUAAUUGAAUUAAUGUACCUAAAAGUCGAUACUGAAAUGUGUGUAUCAAAGUGUACGUAACGAAAUGCAUUAUAUUGAUCGAAAUGCAUUAUAUUGAAUCAAUGUAACUACAUGUUUGUACCGAUAGAUAUACCAAAAUAUUUAAAUGUAUUAAUGUACCUAAAUGAAGAACAUACAAAAUUGUUACCGGAAUAUAUAUUAUAAAAAAUUUAGUUGCCUAAAUGUAGACAUUAAAAUAUAUUAUGAUGAAUGAAAUAAAAAUUAAAUUUAAAUGUAAUUAAUACAUUAAAAUAAAAAUAAAAAGAUAAAAUAAAACAUCAAAAUACAACUAAUAAAUGAUAUGAUUAAACGUGCUAGGGACUAAAAUUGGAUUUUAAUCUUACAUAUGGUUAUAAUCUAAAACUCAUCUUUUUUAGGGAUUAAAAUGAAGUUUUCUAUAAAAAUAAUUAAAUUAAGAUCAAUUGUUGGUUGAUUACUGUGUUCAAACUAGGAUAAUGGGACAAUCGUCUUUUGUCUGAAUGUGCAGUUGUGAGUAAUCUUAAGUUUAACGGCAGUUUCACUGCUUUUGAAGUAAAUUAGGCAAUCUUUACGUUAAAUCUUACAACAAAAUGGUGAAAUCCGGCUCAAAGUUGCUUGUGGGUUAUAGAUUUCUUUAAACAACCAAACAAUGAGAAGCGAAAUUCGAUGAUGAAUUAAGUGUGAUUUUGAAUCGCACAAUCAUGUUGUGUUAUUAAUUUACUUAUUUUAUAAUACGCAUGUUUGUAGUCCAUGACAUGCCAAUUAUGUAGCACAACUCUAUUAAAACACACAUAUUAUGACCGCCACGUGAUCAUACUAAUCCAGAAUACUAACAAACACGACAUAGCUAAGGCAUGUUUUCAACUUUAACGGCAAUCUUCAUGCCACUGUAGCAGAACCCAUUGCUACUAAUGAAGUAGUAGUGCCUUGGCUCAUUCAGUGGAACAAUAUCUCUUCCGGCUCCGGUGGUCCAGUUGUGAAGGGGAUGUUCAACAUUGCACGAGACAUAGUUUGUCUGGUUUACCUCUAGAACAUCAUUUUGGUUCCUAUCAUACACAAAAACUGGAGGGAAAAGAAAAACAGAAUUACCAACUACUACUAGCAUAAAAUACAUAGUUUUCUUAGAAGUAAAUUAAUAUUUGUUACUUGUUUAUUUGAAGUUUUCGCAUAGUGUUGGACGAACUUUUACUAAAGAAUUGAUUUUCACACACUUCUGUUCAUUUUUAGGAUUUUUGUUUCAUCCACUACACUUUAGAACUAACCAAAAGAUACAUUAAGAUAUGAAGGUAAAAUUGUUGUAUGACAAGCAUAUAAGAAGACAUUGGAUUUUCUUCACAGCAAAAACCAAAAGACACAUGCAUUCUCAUAACUUGAAUAACCAAAAUUGUAAUUUUCUUUCUUUCUUUUCCCUGCGUUUUUCAGCGGGAAAAACUGAAUUUUAACUUACCUUUACACAUCAAGAAACAAACUUUUAAUAAAAAGUGCUUUUAAUUCAUCAAAUAAAAAUGGAAAAGCGGAUUUUAAGCACAACCCAUUAAGCCAUUUUCACAUCUAACACACUAUCAUCAACCAAAGAAAAAAAAA
rnacentral:lncRNA from 1 species